rnacentral:lncRNA from 1 species
CGUUUAUAGCAGUCCAAUAGCUCGUUUCGAAUGGUUUGGUUAUUCUGGAACCGAUGGCGCUGACGGAUUUUGAGUUUGACGCACGGAUUUUGAGAAAAUCCAAAAAUACGUGUUUUAUAUGUAUUUGUGCGUAGUUCUUCUGUUGGAGAGAUGGAUCGGAUUUCGUCGCGAAUCCGCGAAGGAUCGAGGCGAAACGAAAUAGUAGCUUUGUGGUCUCCGUCGUGCUGAUCACCCUGGUGCAAUCCGUUCGCAAAUCGGACAGAUGGAUCUGCGGAGAUCGCACGUUGAUCGAGGAAAGGUCGGUGUUGGCAAAACGGUAAUUUCGCAAAAGUUGCGACAUUUUAUGUACCGUUUCGCGUGAGAUCGCACGUGGAGGGGUAUUCUCGCGUUUUACACGCGCUGUGAGGGACUCAGUAUCAAAUACUGAAGUUUGAGGGGCUUUUCCGCAAUUUGCACCUUAUAUAUAUAAGGUAUUCUAGGGUUUUGCAUUGGAAACCCUAACCCUAGUUCUCCCUGCGCCCCCAGCCACCUUCACCCUGCUCCCCUGCCCUAGCCGCAUGUCCCCUGACCGCCGCCGACUGAUCUCCGGCCAGCCACCACCACCUCAGCCUCUUUUCCUUCCUCUCCCUCUCUGGUUUCCACUUUCCUCUCCACCAUCAUGGACCCGAGCUAAGGGAGAGGAUUGAACCUUAUCCCUCGGCCGCCUCCACCCUCCCUCGACCUCAGGCACACGGUCGCCGCAGCCCCGGGCCGCCCAGAGUGCCGCUGCUGCCGCCAUUGCUGCUUGCUGCCAGCCCAGGCCGAGCUCGGGCCGAGCUGGCUUGCAUCAGCUGCCUGCGCACCGCCACCGCCUGAGAUCUCUCUCGCCGCCGUCCCGCAAGCCUACGGCUUCUUCCCCACGCCGCCGCCGCUCGAGGUUGAACUCUUGGCACCCCUCCGGCCUUCUUCAACCCUCCUCCGCCGUCUCGGAGCUCCUCGGCCGCCGCCGUGGCCGCCAUUGCCCGUGGAACCCGAGCCCUAGUUAGUGCGGGCUCGGUUUGCUCCGCCGUCGCCGCCGCCGCUCUCCGCCGCUAACCGAGGUGAGCACGGUACUCCUCACCUCCCCCACACCCAUACCUGGCUCCCGCACGCGCCGCCGUGCCGCCGGUAGGGCUUAGUUUGGAUGGUUUACUGUUCCGAGCAACCCGAGCCUCCCCGAUCUCUGAGGAAGGGAGCACGAUGAUCGUAGAAAAUUGCUGAUCAUCGUGCUCACCUUAGAUUCUGCCGGGGAGACACCGUUCCGUUGUUUCGGCGGUGUCGACCCUAUCAAGCCUGUUUGGUUGCUGUUUUGGGAUUGCGCACGCUUAUCCGGCGAUCCGAGGCUGUCCUGAUGCCUCCGGAGGUGAGCACGGUGAUCGUUGGUCAGUGCUGAUCACAGUGCUCACCUCACUUUGGAUCAACAGUGUCCGGUUAGCCCUGUUUGGCGCGAUCUUCCCUGACUGCACGCUGUUCACAGAACUUCGGGUUGAUCCCGCGCUUCCCACUGUGAUCUGUUGCACUCCAGACCUUGAGCAUGGCCUCUGGCACGUCGAGACCUGUCAGUAUGUGUCUCGGCAGAACUUAGAAGUUCUUGGUUUACGAGAACGAGCCAUAGAAGUCGCCCGAUUUACAUAAAAUGAUGGAUUUUAUGUAAACAUAGGGACUUUUAUGCAUUUGUACACCUUGUGGCCAUUGUGGGCAGUGCGUGGAUGUGUGUGGUGACCUUCGGACUAAUUGUCCAUGAUCUGAUAGCUUUUGUGGAAAUCGAAAAGUCGAUUCCGGUGCCUUUUUCGGCGAAAUUCGCCGAAAGAACGCGGUUUCGAUUCAGAUUUCUUCCGACGUGGGUUGGUUGUCCUAUGAUUUGUCGCUAAGCCUCGUUGGCUGGUCACCAUCAUCAUUUUGUGAGUUCGAUGAUGACGAGUGAGCGAUGGCGGGUUCCGGUGUCGAAAUAGAUACUUUCGGGAACCCGGAUUCGUACAAUUAUCUGGCGAUAAUUGUGUAGCGGGGUUAUCUUGUGUUUGCUGCCAAGACAUCCAAACAGGAGUGUUUUGUGGCAGCGGGUGACUCGUGGUACGCUCGGUGAGUUUCGGGACACUUAGUGGAUCCCGACGGCGUCCCAGUGUGGUUCUCGGGACUUUCGGUAAGUUACGGUGAUUGGUUUUGGGAAACCGAUUACAGGGAUCUUUUGUAGAGGUUUGUGAGAUUGUGUACUUCAGGUUAGUGGGUUGGAUACUGACCUAGUGGAUCUUCGUAGGUCCGGUCGACUUGUGUGCAUCCAGGCUUUCCGACGCGACAGUGACAGGUGGGUACUUCGAUCCGACGUCGGUACAGUGGUGCACGCUUGGUGAUGGUUUCUUAUCCUUACUCUUCUGUUGUUACUAUCGCAUAGUAUAUUGAGCCUUGCACCCUUGUUUAUUCAUUAUACUCUACUCGUUGUUUGCUUGCUUAGUAUCUUGAGUAGGAGUAGAGUAGUUCUAUCUACAUGCUUAUCUGUUGACCUAGUUGGUCUGUUGUUGCAUUCAGUAUCUGUUGACCUAGUUGGUCGGUUGUUGCAUUCCGUAUCUGUUGAUCUAGUUGGUUGGUUGUUGCAUUCCGUAUCUGUUGAUCUAGUUGGUUGGUUGUUGCAUUUCGUAUCUGUUGAUCUAGUUGGUUGGUUGUUGCAUUCUGUAUCUGUUGACCUGGUUGGUCGGUUCUCGUACUGCGUAUCAGGGAUCUUGUUGGUUAGUUGGACUCUGUGGACCUUGGGUCCAGGCAACACAUCGAUUCUCUUGUCAUGUGUUUCGAUCUGGUUGAUCGUGGUUUGGCGUUGUACGCCCUUGUUUCUGGCUUCGGCCUAGGCUCCGGCUUCAGUCGGUUUUUGUAUUGAGCAUACCAGCAUGACUUAGUCACAGCACUUGGGGGUAUUCACGACACCGGGUCGGUUUGGCCACCGACCGGAGGUGUGCUUAUCCGGAUGGGUCGUCCUGUGGGGCGGGUGGAUCAGAUCAGUGCAGUUCAGUGACAGGCAGCGCUUGAGGUCUGCGGACCAAUAUAGCAGGCACCAGAUUGGGUAUAUUUGGACUUAUCGUCUGGUUGACGCAUAUAGCUAUAGUAGCGGUUGUUGUUAGUAUACCUUCAGUUCUUUCAUUACAUUGUCUUGCUACUAUAGUUUUGUUGCAUAUAUACAUUCAGUUAUUCAUUACAGUAGCGGUAGUUGUACUUUCAUUUAUAUAUGUCUCUUUCAUUCAUUAUUAUUGCUACUGUAUUUUCUACUGACCCGUACUGUUGUUUAGCUCUUCCUGAUCCGGUGAGUACUCCUCGCCUUCAUCGGCUUGCGGUACCACUGGAGGGGAGACAUGUUACAUGUUCUUCCUCCACCACCAUUUUCAGGUAUCGCGGAUGUGUGAGAGUUGAGACGAGACGUUGAACACGUCGUAGUGGUCGCUAGAGCUUCCGACCCAUGUUUGUUGGUUUAGUUCCUACCUGUUACUAUUUGUACUUGAUAGCUUUAAUAUUUCAUGGUUCAGUAUUUCAUUUAUGUUUAAGUUAUUCAAGAUUACAAUUGGUUUCCCGAAUGAGAUAAAGAUUUCUGAUUUUCGUAAAAAAGGUUUUCUACCCCUCGUGUAGCGUUUUUAAAGAAAAUAAGGUUUCCGUGUAGGAAACAGUUUUCAAAAGAAUUUUCUGUAGAUUUAUUUUAAAAUAUUGAAUGUAUAACUGUGAUGUGAAUGGUGCAAUGAAUGAUUGCAUAUCCGUUUCUAUAAUUACAUUUGAUAUUGUGGUUGUACCUAGGGUACUUCUGUGUCUUGUGGCGACGCCGCGCAAAUACAGGGGAGACUCUGUCCGUGUGAACAGUGGAUUCCCUAUAUUUGUGGCGGAUCUGGCAUUCCCUGGGGUUAGAUUUAAAAAAAAAAAAAAAAAAAAAAAAAAAUCCGCGGUGUUUUUAACCUAAAGGGACCCCGGGGCGUGACAUAGCCACUACAACCUACUGCUCGGACGCGAUUGGAUACACGCAAACGAGUGCGUACCUUCAACACUCCACGAAAAAUUAUUCCAGUGGAUAGGAGAUAAAGUUGAAAAAAUCCGGGCCGAAGGACGGCCCCAAAUGGUGGACAUCAAUGCUGAAGAAAUCGGCCACAUCAAUUAGGCCGACACUGAUCCAGACCAAAUCUCUUUUGUAAGAAUCACUGAGGAGGGAGUGCAAUUGAUUCUCUCUAUAGAUGAAGCUGCUAUGGUGGCAGCCAAAGAGCCACCAAGCUGGUUAAAAUGGAGCAUGAAGAAUCAGGAGCCGAAGCUUUAGAGGAGCUUCAGCAAGAAGAGUCGAUCGACAGGAUCGGCUAUGUGUUAAAUUCGGCCCAGCAGGCCGAUGACAAUGUGUGCAACAAGAAGGCCGAGACGGCCGAUAAUGAUAUAGUGAAAUCGGUUGUUAAAGCCGAUGCGAAAAAUAUGGUGAAAUCGACUGUUACAGCCGAUAAUGAAAUAUCACAUGAAAUGAAAGGGCGAACAACCGAAUUGAACUUAGAAAAGUCGCCUAUCAAAGUCGAUGAAAAGAAGUUGGAAACACAGGAUCCACUAAUUGAGGUGAACUUAGGAUCCGACGAAGACAAACAACCGACUUAUAUUAGUGCCAAACUUUCGGCUCAACAACAAGAGGAGCUGAAAGCAUUGCUGAAGGAGUACAAGGACUGCUUUGCCUGAAAGUAUGAGGAAAUGCGAGGACUAAGCCGAGAAGUUGUAGAACAUAGGCUACCGAUUAAAAAAGGAUAUAAGCCUUACAAAUAGCCGGCUUGUAGGUUUGAGCCGAGUAUUGUACUCCAAAUCAAAAAUGAAAUAGAAAAUCUUUUAAAGGCCGGUUUUAUUAGAGUGGCCCGUUACGUUGAUUGGGUAUCUAAUAUAGUUCCAAUAUGUAAAAAGAAUGGCAAACUUAGAGUUUGCAUUGAUUUGAGGAACAUAAAUUUGGCUACACCUAAAGAUGAAUAUCCAAUGCCAAUAGCCGAUAUGUUAGUAGAUUCGGCUCCCGGUAAUGAAAUCCUGUCUUUUAUGGAUGGACAUGCCGGUUAUAAUCAAAUUUUCAUUGCCGAAGAAGAUGUAGCUAAAACAGCCUUUAGAUGCCCAGGGUCUAUUGGGACCUUUGAAUGGGUAGUUAUGCCGUUCGGUUUAAAAAAUGCUGGAGCUACUUAUCAGAGAGCAAUGAAUUUUAUUUUCCAUGAUUUGAUCGGUAAAAUAUUGGAGGUUUACAUCGAUGAUAUAGUUGUGAAAUCCAAAUCACAAGCCGAACAUUGGGUAGAUUUAAAGCUCGCCUUUGAAAGAAUGAAAAAAUAUAAUUUGAAGAUGAAUCCUUUAAAAUGUUCCUUUGGAGUCUCAGCAGGAAAUUUCUUGGGAUUCUUAGUACAUAAAAAGGGGAUUGAAAUUGAUAAAAAUAAGGCGAAAGCUAUAUCAGAACUGCCGCCACCAAGAAGCAAAAAAUAGUUGCAAAGCUUGUUGGAAAAAAUCAAUUAUUUGCGGCAAUUUAUAUCGAAUAUGGCCGGUAGAAUAGGGGUUUUCACUCUGUUGCUUCGGCUUAAAAAUCAAGAAGAAUUUAUUUGGACGGAGAAACAACAAAGAGCAUUUGAAAAUAUUAAGAAAUAUUUAACAAAUCCCCCAAUUCUUAUGCCUCUUAAACAAGGGCAGUCGAUAAAACUGUACAUUUCGGCUGCAGAGAAAAAUUUGGGAUGCUUAUUAGAUCAAGAAAAUGAAGAAAAAGAGGAACAUGCCAUUUAUUAUCUAAGCCAACGAUUAUUAGAUACUGAAAAAUGAUAUUCGGCUAUUGAAAAAUUAUUUUGGCCUUAUACUACUCUUGUACAAAAUUAAGAUAUUAUAUUUUACCAACAGAAGUAUCGGUAAUAUGUAAAACCGAUCUGGUAAAAUAUAUGUUAUCUAAGCCAGUGUUGAGAGGACGCAUCGGAAGGUGGAUAUUAGCAUUAUCCGAGUUCUCCCUCAAUUAUGUUCCGGCAAAAGUUGUUAAAGGACAAGCAAUAGCCGAUUUUCUGGUUGAUCAUCCAUGUGUUGAAAUUGAAGAGCCGAAACAAAAUUUAGUCGGCUGUCAACCUUGGAUACUUUACUUUAACGGCUCAAGAACAACCGAGUCACCGAGAGCUGGAAUAGUUGUACAGUCUCCUGAGGGAUAUACCUAUCAUUUUGCUUUUGAAUUAGAUUUCGGCUGUUCCAACAAUUAAGCCGAAUAUGAGGCCUUAAUAAUUGGCCUCGAAAUUUUACAAGAAUUGAAAGUUAAGUCACUCAAGGUCAUCGGUGAUUCACAAUUAGUAAUGAAACAAGUCAGCGGGGAAUACCGAUGUGAAAAUCAAAACUUGCAAAAUUAUUUGAGAAAAACAGUAGAAUUGCUUUGCAGCUUCGGAGAAGUUGAAUUCGAGCAUUUGACAAGAGGAAAAAAUGAACAAACGAAUGAAUUAGCCCAAUCGGCUUCAGGAUAUAGAGAGCCGAAAUGAGGUCUAAUAAAAAUAGAAAGAAGACUAUUACCUUCGGUUCAUGUUCAAGAACCGAUUAUUGCCCCCAUAGAGGUGAAAGAGGAUUGGAGAAAAUCCAUAAUCGAAUACUUAGAAUACCCUAACAAAGAGGUCGACUAUAAUAUUCAAAGAAGAGCACUCGGCUAUUGUCUGUUAGAUGGACAACUCUACAAGAGAACAGCCGAAGAAAUAUUAUUGAAAUGUUUAGGGCCUGAAGAAGCUCUAUUGAUGAUGGGAGAAACACAUAAAGGCUUAUGUGGAGCCCAUUUAGCAGGAAAAAGAUUAAAAUGGACAAUUCGGCACUUUGGAUAUUAUUGGCCGACUAUGCAUCAAGAUUGCAUAAAAUAUGCUAAGGGUUGCCAAGAUUGUCAAUUUCAUGGAUCAGUACAGAGAGUUCCUACCUCUGAGAUGUAUACGAUAAUUAAACCUUGGCCUUUUUGAGGUUGGGCCAUAGAUUUAAUUGAAGAAAUUCACCCGAAAUCAUCGGCUGGUCACAAGUUUUUAAUAGUGGCCGUUGAUUAUUUUACUAAGUGGGUAGAAGUAAAACCCGCUCGGUUGGUCACUCAAAAAGAGAUUAUCGAUUUCGUUAAAGACUCCAUAAUUCAUCGCUUUGGGAUUCCCGAGACAAUUAUAACCGAUCAAGGAACAAUGUUCACAGGAGGACAAUUCAUUCGGCUCAUUGAAUCUCAGAAGAUCAAGUUACUUCACUCAUCACCUUAUUAUGCUCAAGCCAAUGGACAGGCUGAGGCAGCAAAUAAGGUGAUUAUAAAUCUUAUGAAGCGGCAUAUCGGAAAACAUCCAAGGAAAUGGAAUGAAAAAUUAUCUGAAGUAUUAUGGACAAGCCGAACUUCAGUAAAAACAGCGAUGGGGAUGACACCGUUUCAAUUAGUAUACGGCCACGAGGUCGUGGUACCAGCCGAAAUAACAGUCCCUUCUUUAAGAGUGGAAAGGCAAAAAUAACUAUCGGGUGAUGAAUAUAGUAAUUUGAUGAAGGAAGAAAUGGAAGUAAUACAUGAAACUCGGUUGAUGGCAUUGAAUCAUUUGCAAGCUUAUCAAAGCCGAGUACGCAAUGCAUAUAAUAAAAAAGUUAAAGCUAAGUCAUUUACAGUUGGUGACUUGGUUCUUAAGCUUAUUUUUCCAAUCGGUCGAAAAGAUCGAGUAUAUAGAAAUGGUUUCCAAAUUGGAAAGGACCAUUCAAAUUAGUAGAAUCACAAGGGGAAGCGCAUUUUACUUGAAAAAGAUAGAUAGGUUAGAAAAUGAAAAGCCAAUCAAUGGAAAGUACUUAAAAAAUUAUUCUCCAUCCAUGUGGGAGAAUAAUCAAAGUUAGAGUUAAAAUAUUACAAACCGAAUCAAGAUAGUAAAUCCUUGAGUUGGUUCCAUUCGGCUAUCAAGUUAGCUUGGGCAAUCUCGGCUGCUUUUCUCCUACGUUUCAUUAAGGGAUGCAUUUUGUAAAGUUGGGUAAGCUUGUCUUGAAGCUUUACUCCUUCAUCCUUCUUGGUCUUCAAUUGAUCAUGCAGGAGGAGCCGACGCUCAGAAGUACGAGCUAGAGUUGAUUCGGCUGCAGCUAAUUCUUCCUUGAGAGUUAAAAUUUGCUGCUGCAAAGCCAACUCCUGAUCUGCUAAAGUUUGGUCUUCCCGGCUCACUUCAGUAAUAGAAGCCGCUACCUCAGGUAUAGUAUUCUUAAAAUGAUCAACUUGAUGAAAAUGUUGAUCAAGGGAUAAAAGCUCGGCACUUAAAGAUUGUUGCCGAGACAAAAAAGAAGAAAGUUGAGAUGAUAGAAUCUCUACAAAACAUUUACCAGCAGAUGAGAUGUCUGACCGAUCAGCUAAGUCAAGUAAAAGAGCGCACAGCCGAUCAAAUUGCUCUGAAUUUUGAGCCAAAUAUGAGAGACAUUAACUAUAUAAUCGUAGACACUCAUCAAAUUGUUGUUAAGUGUCUGACGACAUCACAAUAGUUGAUGAGUCAUCUUCCUCAUUCGAAUUGGGGCUCGAAGCUAACAGUGCAUGAAGAGUGGCAGACAGAGUAUCGUCAGGAAUAGAAGAUGAAGCUCCAGGUGAUGAAGCUUCAAGAGUCGAACGACGCACUGGACCUGGCUCUUCAAUAUCUUUCUCCAAAGGUACAGUCACAUCUUCUUUCUCAAUUGUUGCUGAAGAUGGAUUGGUAGUACUUGUUGGCAGCUCUGUGCUCAUUUCUCGAGCAGUCAUUUUUCUCUCCGCCUCUUGCUUUUUCUCGAGGCGAGCAUCUCGGCGAACUUGUCCACUGAUUUGCAUCUUCAAAGAAGAAGCAAAACGGGCUCUUGAAUUGUUUUCAGGAGAAGACUGUUUUAUUAAAAGAAUAGUAAAUGAGCCGAGAAAAUAAGACAAGUUAAAAUAGCUAAUCAAAUCAAUGUACCUCAAUUUCGAUGGGCACAUUAGGAACACAGUCUUGUUCUGAGGCAUCAGCCGAAGGCGUUUCUUCGGCUCUUUUUUCGAGAGUAGAAGCUAAAGGUGUUUCCUCGGCUCUUUUCUUUGAUACAUCAGCCGAAGAAAUGCCUUCGGCUUGCUUGGAAUGCGGUCUUUUGGCAACCGAUUUAUGCCAUUUCGGAGGUGGUGGAGUGUUAGUAUCGAUUGGUCUUUUUUCUGAAGCUAGGACCGAUGAAGAAGUUAGGAGUGACUGUAUAUGAAAAUGGAUAAAAGAAAUUAGUAUUAAUCAUAUUAAGAAAAGAAAGUUAAAAUAAAGGUAAAGUUCAUUACAGAAGAAGAAGACGGGACAUCAGAGGUAUGAUCAGAAGUCUCCUCUUAUUCUUCUUUUGGUGCUGAUGGGGCGAGGGUAUCAGCCGAAACAAAUGGAUGAAUAGUUCUACGGAAUGCCCAGGGCAGAGAAAGGUCAAAAAUACGAUCAGUAAACUGAUCCCAAAUGGUAGCAUAGCCGGCGAGAGCUACUCCUGUAUAAUUCGGCCUGAAGCUUACUAACUUGAAGAACCGUCGAAGACGAUUCCCCACAGUCGAAAUCUUGUCAGCUUCAGCUAUACUUUUAGUAGGAGGUCGAGAGUCGGCCGGGUUGACCGUAAAAAAUUUAGACGGGGCCAGAAUCGGCUCAACAAAUCCAAAUUGGUGCGCCACAUACUGAGGGGAAUGAACUUCAGUACUUGGUAAUAACUUUGAACGCGAUUUUAACCCCACAUGAAGAUCCCUCGAGCCAAAUAAUUAUACCAUACUUCCGAGUACUCGCUGGAGCGAGAAGAGGCUAAUUCGCCUUGAAUAGCCUCAAACCGGGCAAGAAACCAAGAGGGGCCGGUAAGACGGUCAGCAAAGGGAGACCAGGAAAUAGCCAAGUUAGGACUCGGCUCAUAAAAAGUUUUGAAAUAAGUAAGAAAAUCAAAAGGUUAACCCGAAGUCAUCGGCUAUGGAUAGCCGAGAGCUAACCCAUAAGAAUCAAAUUGGGCAACGAAAAUCGGGUUAAAAGGAGAUUGACAUAAAGCAGGAAUAUAAAACUGCAAAAACAUUUGUAAAAACCAGAAAACGCCGCAACCAGAGCUGAUGGCAAUACCAUCUCCAGAAGGCAGCGUUUUGAUGGAAUCAAAAAUCUCUUUAUAAACAAAGGCAAGAAAAUAAGACCCUAGAGCUAAUCUAUCGCCAUUAGACAAUCCAACGGCGAUUGGGACAAAGUCACGAUUGAUCUUCUGCGAACGAGUACAGAAGAGAUUGUGACAUAACCAAUAUAGGAGGAACGCUGUAUGUUCCUUUCUAGUGACAGGAGCAGGGGAUUCACUAGCAAACUUACGGAUAAACUUGGAAUAAGCCAAGUCAUUGAGGUCUAAAUGAUCCUCAAAAUCAGAUACGCCGUCAGGAUUAUAAGACAUGGAGACAGUAACUCCAUAAAGGCGUAAGCCGAUAAUGGCGGCAACAUCAAGAAGAGUGGGAGUGAGAGGUCCUCUUUUGAAAAGAAAAAUAUUAGAAGCAGGGGACUAAAAACAGAGAGCAGCAGCUAGAAGAAGGUUAUGGGCUAUAGGAGGAUGCCGAGAUAAUUCGAUCGCUUCAUAAAUCCCUACUUCUCGCCAAGAGUCACCAAAGGCGGCUUCUACCCUGUCUAACCAAGCCAAGUAUGCCUCUGAGACGCUUGGCCAGGUUCGAAGACUUUUUCCUGUCGAAGCUGAUGAGUAUCAAGAUUGAAGAUGAAUGGCUUUUCUUAGGGGAAGACCAUCACUAGAAAAUGGGGAAUCAGAAGGGGAUGGCUCAUCUAUAAGAGAAGGACCUAAAAUAAAUUGAGAUGGGUCUAAAUCAACGAAAGGUUUAAGUAUAGUAUAAUCUAGAGACGGGUGAGAAGGAAGAGGUGGAACCAGUGCCAUUAGUCAGAAAAGGAAAAGAAAAUGAAGAAGAAGCCGGAGGAGGCAAAGAGAAAGCAAAGAAAAUGAAGAAAAAACAGAGAGCGAAAAAGAUGAAGCCUGAUGACAAAAGGCUAUAAAAAAGGAAUGAGAAGCUUAGUGGAGAAGAAAAGACUGUCGCGUCGAAUCGCCGCAUUGAAGCGAAUUCCGAGGUCGGCUAUAAUGAUGAAUAGAUGGCAGUAAUUAAGAUGACCUAAUUAAUGCCGCAUAUAAGACAAAAAUAGGUGGCGAGAUCAAGGCCGUAGAAGAGGAAUGAACGGCUGAAAAUAAACCGUACAGAGAAUUUGCAAUUAAUUGAGCAGAGAUCGUGCCUUAUAUUACAUCAGCCAUUGAGGCGCAAUCGUACAAAGCAUUUGAAAUCAAUUGGGCCGAGAACCACGCCUUGGAUCACGCCUAUUACCGAAGCGAUGGUGGGAUUUUAGUAGUAGAAAAAGUAGACGGUUGAGAUAAAGUCGUACAAAGAAUUUGAAAUUGACGGACGACCAAGAUGAGGUCGUGCAGAGAAUUUGAAAUUGAUUGGAUAGAGAACCACGCCUCGGAUCACGCCAGCUAUCGAAGCGUUACUUCGAAAGCUGCCGAGGGAGCAAUUGUUGAGCCAAUAAGGCGCGGACAUGGUACACCGGUACUCUAUUCAGUUGUAUUGAUUUGCAGUGCACCAAGAGCACCAGAAGAAUAUUAAACCGCACGACUUGAGGGAAGUUACAGUAACCGCAAGCAGUUGCAAGCGGUUCCGAUCGGCUGGAAGUGGUCCGAAAUAUUAGGAGAUAGUGGCCGAUUGUGUAAAAGCAAUAACUGAGCAAGGGGCGAUCUACAAAUAGGCCAAUAACGCCCUAAAAAGGGGUCUUUUCCCUGUGAACAAAAGACCGCCUUAUUUUUCUCGUAAUUUCUUGCAUUUUCUAGGAGUAGUCUACUUGUAAUUUUCUCUUUCCCGCAUUUACUGUUCUUCCUGGGAGUAGUUUUAAAUAGAUUAAUCGAGUCUGCAUGCCAUCAGGCACACUUGACCCCUGUACUUCUUAUCAGUGAAUAUAAAGGCAUUCGACUCUUCUAGCCGAUCAAUUCAUGUGUUCUUUAGCUAUUCGGCUCAUCGGUCGACUUCAGUUUUUGCUUGGUCCGUACAUUCGGCUCUUCCAGCCGAACCGAAUUUACUGAAGAGGCUUCGAACCCAGCUGAUUCGAUCCCUCAUCAACCGAAUCGCUUGAUCAAUCGAAGGGCGCGAACUUCGAGGGUCAGUACCAUAAGCCGUUUCCAUCCCGAUACGCUCCCUGAGGAGGAUCGUCGACAAGGACGAGGGUCCGGGAAAUCGGCAGCGAACAAGCAGAGUCCGCGUCAGGAACCGCAGAAGAUCCUAAACCUCUUUCUGAUUAUUAUAGAAACUAAGAUUAGGACGGUUCUGAACCGUCUUCUGAUUACUCUAGGAAAUAAGAUUAGGGCUUCCUUAGUUCUUUUGUUCUGGCUUUUUGAAUUCCAUUUUGUGGUUUUGUUAGUUUUGUGGUAUGUACAGGCAAUGCCAGUAUAUUUUACAAUAUAUUACUAAGUGACUUUGCAUCUGCCAAUUUUAUCCCUACUUAACUUCUACUGAAUGUUUACUAUUCUUAUGUAGUAAGUUGCUUGAAGACCUUAUCAUUUAUGCAAUAUUUUUUUAUUCUUCUAAUGACUCGGCGACUUAUAUUUUAUUGCAGUACAAAAAGGACAUGUAAAAUAUUAAGAUUAAAAAUUUAAGUGAUCAGUGUUACUCCAUAAGCCAAAAAAAAAUGAAAGAAUUAAAAAAACAGAGAAAGCAUAUAAUAAUAUAUGGUCUACUCAUAUAUGCAGGAACUUCUUCUCAUUUUUCUUAAAAUUUGUGUUGCUUCUUUUAUUUAAUGUCCAUACUCUUAUUGAUUUACUGUGGCGGUGUUCUUCCUAAUUUACUAUGGAGUGUUAUGUCUGUUUGCUUCAAGUGUCGUGCCUAUUGUAUUCAUUUACUUCUUUACUUAUAACUUUUCUUUUCUCUUUUUUUUCCCUUUUAGCCUUCUACGUAGGUGCUGCUUCAUUUGCUGAUGCUUUUGUCACUUAUUUUGCUUCAAAACCAAGUACAUAUUCUGGAUUUUUUUCUUACGUUAUGUCCGUUUAAUAGUUAUCUACUUUCAGAAAAUUCGUAUUGCUUUGGUUGUAUACUAUGUGCAUUUUCCACUUAAUUACUCCUCUCUUUGCCUUUCAUCCAUUGCGGAUGAAAAGUGUUUGAUACAUGUGCUAAAUUCUUAAGGACCUCUCAUUGUUAGUUCAUGGGAAUGGACGAAAAAAUUAUAGGCAGCAAUAUACAAACCUUUGAGCGAGCCCUGGGCUGUCGCCAAAAUCGCCAUGUCCGACCUCAGUCCAAUCUGAAACAUUUUAAAAACACUGUAAAGAUAAUUUGAACGAACAAAUGUUGAGUUAUAAAAACAUAGUUUGAUCACACAUCUAAACAUUUAAUACUGCAAAAUAUUUGACGAUUUAGGUAAUUUUAAACCACCUAAAUAUUAUGUAGAAACUCCAUCAGCAAUCUAAAGACUUCCUAUUUAACAUGUAAAUACUCCCUUCAAUCUAAACAACGCAUCAUGUCUUUUGCUAAUUAGUUUAAAGCUCUUAGCACAACGCAUCAUGCCUAGCAACAAAGAACAAAGCAUUAGUGUUGUAAAUAACCUGGAAUCUUAUUGCCACUAAUUUUUCUAAAGUCAUUGGUGAUAGAUAUUUAUAGCACAAACAAAAUUUUCAUCAAUGUUUUUUAUCCAGCUCUAGGAAUAUUAACCAACAAUCAAAAUUUUCAUUCAAAUUCUUUUCAAGAAUAAAAUGCACAUUAGAAUCUUUUUCAAGGUAGUAAGUUUACACCAAAUAAAAUGUUCCAAUAUUGCAAUUUAAGAACUUAGCCCUCUCCAAAGAGAGUAGCCAGUGUAAUCCUCACAUUGUAGAGUUAAGACAAAUUAUGAAAACCUAUAGAACCAUAUUUUCAUAUUCCAUGACCCGCCGGCAGAUUCAAAUCUUUCAUCAAUGUCAGUUAAACUUACCGGCUUGAGGAUCUAGCAUGGCUAUUUAACAGGUUUAGCAAUGAGCGAAAAGAAACUCUCCUUUAGUUAAGAUAAGAUGCUAAUUAUUGCUAAUCGUGUGCUUUCGUGUUAGAAUUUUUGAAUUUCUUUGAUUACUAUAAGGAAUUAUAAAGUUUCGGCCACGAAGAUGACCGAUCGGAAGUAACUAUAAGCAAUUUGUCUUGGUGGCAUAUUGAGAUAAAUAAUUGUAACUUCUUGUGUCACACCCCGGGGUCCCUUUUUGAUUUAAAAGUAAAGCGGAAGUGCCCAAUUUUUUUUUUUUUUUUUUUUGAAAAACCCCCGGGGUAAGCCAGAUCUGCCACAAAUACAGAGAGUCCACUGUUCACACGGACAGAGUCUCCCCUAUAUUUGCACGGCGCCACAAAAAUACAAGAUACAUAAAACAGGAUACAACCACUACAUAUGAAUAUAGAUACAUUCAUACAUUCAUACACCAUUCACAUUCAGAUUCAUAUUCAGAGUUUAACCAUAAAUCCAUAACUCAAAUCCAUAACUAUGAGUUUGAAAUGUUUCCUACCCGGAAACUCAUUUUAAAACACUAAGUCAUGAAAACCAAGAAAACCUUUUAAAAACCGUUUCCCACACGGAAACUUUUUCUUUUUAAAACUCGCUACCACGAGAGGUAGAAACCCAUUUUUAUUUCACAAAAAUCCACAAAUCCUUUAUUACAUUCAUGAAACCAUAUGAAUUCAAAGUAAUAAUCACUGAACCAAAUAAUUGUCUAAGUCAUUUAUUUAAAAGAAACUGAGUUUGAGGAUUAACCAAACAACAGGACGGUGGCUCUACCGAUCGCUAAGUACGCUCCUCACGUACCGUCCCACUAGGACCCGCGACGUCACCUGUAAAGGGGGUAGGGGGUGAGUACAUGUAAAUAUGUCUCCUCUCCCAGUGGGUACCGCAAGCCGAUGAGGGCGAUGGGUACUCACCCGUCAAGGAGGAUAAACAACAAUAUGGGUAAGUGAAAUACAGUAGCAACGAUAAUGAAUGAACAGGAUGUAUAGUGCACAGCUACCGCUACUGUAUGUAUGCAUCAACGAACGACAAGUCCAAAAAUACCCAAUCUAAAACCUGUGCUCUAUUGGUCCGCACCGCAGACCUCAAGCUGUGCCCUGUUGGUCCGCACCGCAGACCUCAAACUGUGCUCUAUUGGUCCGCACCGCAGACCUCAAGCUGCCACUCUACCUGCAAAUAACCCAAGGUAACCUAUGGGCUACGGGUUGGCACCUUCAACCACUUUUCCGAAAAAGAACACCCUCUUGCGGUGCAUCAGACCGCUGGUGUUCGUGAAAUGCAUACGAGUAUCGGGCGAUCAAUGCUAAUAUGCUCAAUAGCGAACCGUCGGCAACUAGCCGACAAUCACCGCCCCCGGGGUGCACCAACCAAUAGGUCAUCAAACUGUAAGGAACACAAGUACCGACCACUCAGGUCAACUAGGAUGGAACAACUCAACAUCCUUCCAAACGUAUGCAAGUAUCGACCACUCACUAUUAACUAAAAAAAAUAUGCAGAAGGACCGACAGUAGGUGACAGAGAUGUCAAGUCAUGCAUCGGUAUAAUCCAAAACUAACCGUUGGCCACUAGCCGACAAUCCUACCCCUGAGGGUAUAUCGACCGUUUAGGUCAUCAAAUAGUCUAAUUUCACAAUGAUUAUGCAAUAAGCUGAUCAAAUAGGUCACAAAUACGAGGUACAAAAAUGGACCGAUCAGGUCGUAGUAUGAGAUACGAGAAUCGAUCAACCAGGUCAUAGAUAACACCUGUAGGUAAAUCUGCUAUACUCCUACUCAUGAUACUAGAUAUGAAAAACAACCGAGUAUAACGGGAACAACAUGGGUGUAAGCCUCAACACUAUAUAUGUAGAUAUGCAUGUAGAGUAAUAACGGGAGAACAAGGGUAAGAAGAUGUCACCGAGCGUGCACCACUGUACCGACUUCGGAUCGAAGUACCCACCUGUACAAAUACGGUGCUGGCCUUCCAACUGCGAAGGAAGUAACAACCCGACCUACAAAGGGUCUACCGAGUUAGAAUCCAAACCACGAACACAAAACGCUAACUCACAAUCCCCACCAACGAACCUACGGAAAUCGGUUUCCCAAAAUCGAUUGCCGUAACUCGCCAGAAGUCCCGAAAACCACACCGGGACUCUUUCGGGACCCACAAACUGUCCCAGAACUCAUCGACUCGUGCUAUGAGUCACCCGCUGCCACUAAACACUUAUAUUCGUGUGACCUGGUAGCAAAAACACUAACUCACAUUGAAACUAUUAUCAUCGGAUAAUCGUUCCGAUCCAGGUUUCCGGAAGUGUCCAAUUUGACACCAGAACCCACCGUCGCUUACCCAUCAUUUCCGGACACUCGAAACGACGCGUGUGAUCAGCCAACAAGGCUCAACGACAUAACAAUUUAUCACGAGGCACCGUCGGAAGAAUUCCCAACCGAAAACGCAUUCUGUCGGCGAAUUUCGCCGAAAAACGCAUCGAAAAUCAAUUUUCGAUCUCCGAAAAGGCUUGGGUCCUUGAACAACCAGUCCAGAGGUUACCCACUGCACGCACACGUUGCCAACAGCAACCCCAAAUUAAACAAUUGCAUAAAAACACUCUUGAUUACAUAAAAUCACAUUAUUUCAUGUGAUUUUUGGGGUUUUAUGGCCCGACAGCGUAAAUCGGAGAUCUUUCAGCCAAGCCGAGACAUCCGCUGAUAGGUCUUGGCAUGCCGGAGGCCAUGCUCACACUUCGGAGCACUGCCGGCCACUGUGGCGAGCGUACGAGCGACGCGAACUUCAGUGAAACAACACGCACAGCGCCUAAAUCGCGUCUAACACGCAAACGGGGGCGCCAUUGACCCCAACAGAGGUGAGCACGAUGUUCAGAACGAAGCAACGAUCUUCAUGCUCACUUUCGAAAUUAUCAGGGUGUCCUCGGAUCGCCGGAAAGGCAACCGGAACACGAAACUGUGCACAAAACAGUGAAAUAGAACUCACCGAACCAUAGGGAGCUCGGGCACGGCCGGCGGCGGGCACACCGGCGGCAGGCAGGUGCAGGUGACGGAAAGAGGCCGGAGCUCGCGUCGGCCGGCGACGGGAUGCGGUGGCUGCGACGGGCAAUGGUGCCCUAGCCGCAGGAAUCCAGUAGAGAACACAAGCUCAUUCCAGCCGGCGGGGAGCUCCGGCAGUGGGGGCGCUAGCAGAAUCAGGGUGCGGCAGGCCAGGGGGAGUCGGCGCUCACACUUCCCCUCGGCGGAAGGCAGCGGUGGUGGAGCUGGAGCAUCCCAAGCCAGCAUGAGUUCGGCUCGGGCUCACAGGGCAGCGGCGGCCACGGCGGCAACCAGGGUCACUCCAGGACGACAGCGACGGGUCGCCAGUGAAAGUUUUGAGGAGCCCAAGGAUCUAUCUAGAUUGUAUCUAUCACCUAGAGGGGGGUGAAUAGGUGAAAAGCCAAAAAACCACAAAUCUCGAUGCAAUAAAAAUAAAUGCGAAAAAUAAAAAGCACACCGAGAUUUACGUGGGAAAACUCCAAACUCGGAGUAAAAAACCCACGGGACCAAUACGCGAUAACAAUCCACUAAGAAUAAAAGAUUACAAGGUGAUUUACCGAAUCCACGGACUCAAACCUCUCUUCUAUCUUCUCCGGAUCUCGCGCACACCAACGGGUUGUCCACGCCCCACGUCCGAAUCCACGAACGCCACGUCCCGAAUCCACGAAACGUCACCACUUCGAAUCCACGAAGCCUCGAUCACGUCGAAUCCACGACGCCCACUCGAAUCCACGAGCUCACGAUCCGAAUCCACGAACACAACCGUCUUCGUCACUAGUGGAUAAUGCCGAAUUCACUACGCCUUUCAUGAAGACAUACAUGUUAAAGGUGAUCUUCCAUUAAAUAUCGUAGAAACCAGGGAAUAGAACUCUCAAGCAGAAACAGGACAAAAUCGACAUAUAAUAUCAAAUUUCAAUACUCAUUGAUCUAAAAGAGACUUUUGUAAAUAGGUUAAAGAUGAAUCCGAAGCCUCUAGGUUUAUCUCAAAACAUAAUAUUUUAUAGAUGCUGAUUUAGAAAGCCCAAUAGCAUUUUCUAUAGACUUAAAAUUAAUUGGAUCGAAAUCUAGAAAGUCUUCCAAAAACAGACACCUGACCGGAACCAAAUGUUUCACAGGCGGUACACCAUUCUAACAAGAUUUUCUGGCAACUCCUCGUACCCCUAGAAUAGUUCGCUUGUCCGAACAGGGUUGUACCGUACACAUGAAGCUGACCGAACACACCAUCAAAUUCUCCUGCGAAGCAGGAUGGCUGACCCCCUGCAGAAAACCCUUUACAGUUACCGCAAUGGCAAUUUUCGCAUGAAAAUGCAUGUUUCGGAAUUUCACAAACUCUUAGAAACUUUCCUAUCUCAAUUCACAACUUUGAAAAUACUAAUCUAGAACUAAAAUAAGUAUGAAUCACCAUAAAAAGAUUAAAAAAUACCUACCCACGAUUCAAGUUUGCGGGUUUUGCUCCUUGCCGACUUUCUUCAAGUCUUGACUGAUCUCAAUAACCCCGUCUCUUCGGACUCUCAAGACCGAACCGAAUCCCGAAACUGCCAACACAUAGGACCUAACACUCCCUUUGGCAAUCGUGAACAAAACACACAAACUCACAAUUCAACUUAAAGAAAAACGAAUUCAAUUCACAACCAAACAUCGAACCCCUCGCACGUAACUCACAAAUACAAUAUUUGAAACUCAAAAUUACAUCAAACCCAAAACAGACGUCAUAGACUUACGAUCCAAUAGAGAUCUUCCAAGUCUGAAUUUCCUGCAACGAAUCAUUCAAAAUGAUAGCACUAAAUUCUUAACCAUUUCCUCUCCCCUUGUUCACACUCCCCCUUUGUUCUGGAACAUAUCAUCCUGCUCAGUUCAAAUGCCUGUCAUAUGGUAGCCAACUCCCCCCUCAUCUAUACUCUCCUCCUUUUUGCAAAAUUCCAAAAAAAGCAAAUAAGAGAAAACCAUACUAGAAAAACAUGAAGAUCCUAUAAUAGUUACAGCCUAAAACAAAAGUAAAAAACAUCUACCAGAAAGAUAAGAACACAAUCUAAAACAUCGGGUCCUACAAUCACAAAUCAUGAAAUAACAGACUAAACUACCGAAGAAUCACUCCGUGUCCCAUCAUCCAGCAUCAUCAAUCUCAGCACAACCUCCAACCCCAGCCUCAGAGCACACCAGACGGAAUGAAGACUGUGUAAAUACCCGCAUAUACGAAGAAAGAUGAGUAAGGUCCCAAUACAUCAUGUCUACAUCCACCCCAUCUUACCAUCCAAUCUCUUAUACCAACUCAAAACUCUUGAAAACCACUCAACCUUCUUCCAAAGUUCACAUCUUCUUCUUAACUUUACCCUAAAUCUAUUCUUAACUGAUUCCACAUGCCCGCCGCUCCCAACCGAACUUAAUAAAUAUAAUCCUCGAAUGUAGGCGGAGAGCAAAACUAAAAGCUGCUCUGUGCAGGUCUGGGCUAAUGCCUUCACGGAGUGGCGCUCUUUAUGUCUGAAAAAUAACUUGAGAGGCUAACAAUUACCCAAGUCAUCGAUCAAUAGCCCAAGCCAACAUCGACUUGUCACAAGAUUAUCCACAUCCAUUUGCUUAAAUCCUCGAAUUAGAACAGGAAUGGUAUAGAUCACCGCGAUGCACCCUGAAUAUACUAAUCACUCCUGUUUGCCAGACAGCAAAUGAACAUUGAAUCGUUCAACCCACAACCUGUCGGAUACCUAAGAAUAUAAGCAAUACAAUCUAUCCAGCGAUCCCCUUUGUCGAUAGUUAUUACACAUUGUACCAACCAAGAUAACAAUGAACUCAGUAAUAAAUCUGAUCAAUAAGCAUAGUUAGUAAACACCGGCUUGCAAUAUACCAAACAUAUCCCAGGUAGUUGAUGCCUUGUAAUCCACGAAGUAAUAUGAGAAGACCUGAAUGUCCACAGAUCCCCCAAAUUUCUCCAUAUCAUAGGGGUAACUGAAUCUCUCUGUGACGCAACACAUCUCGAAAUAAAAGUGCAGUUCACAUAUCUCAGCAACACACCUUUCCUAUUCAUAUAGAACUCCUAAAAUCCACACACAAAGAGCCUCGCAGGACCUCCACAGGCCAAUAGGCCGCCGCUCUGUAGUUCACGCACCGGGACGGCGAGCCCUCCCGGAGCGUGCCCACACCUACCAUAAUGUCACCACAUAAUAAGGCGUCUAUAAUAAUAAAAGCGGUAAGUAAAGGCAGCGACAACAACAAAUAGAAAAUAAAUACAAGACAACAAUGAUAACAAGCGGAAGAUCUUAACAUCCAUUACAAAGAAAUUAGAAGCAUAACUAAAACAAAAGAAACAAAAUUAACACAUCACCCUAAUACAACAAAGGUGAUCUCUAACAGCUGUAACUCUCGACCUCUCCAAUAAAGUACAACGAGAGUAACCACCUAGCAAAACGAUCCCUCUAAGCCCCGCCAACAACGAGGCAUACCUAUCCGCAAUCCUGGCCUCAUCCCUGCUGAAGCUCGAAAAAUCAUCGAAGAAAAGGUCGUCGAAACUAUAAUUUAAUGAUUCCCCAGUGGGCACUUACCGACCCAGCUCAAUCGCUCCCAGCCCCAAAAUAAGGUAAAUGCAAACGAUAAUAUAAAAGCAAAGGAGCAGAAAAUAACCUGCUGAAAAGAAAGCAUAAUGAAAUGCUAGUCUACUCGAGUCUCCAGUAAGCAGUGAUUCGACCAAUAAUGUACAUGCUAUCUUAUCAUACAAAUUAAGUCCAAAGGCACUAUCAAUUGUUGCAACUAUGUCAAUGCAUAUGUAGAAUUCCUAAUAUCAAUGAUAUUCUUUGCCACAGCCGUCAUCGAUUUCAUUCCCGCAUAAGAUCUACCCAAGUAGUUCCCGGCUCUUGCCCCGCCUAAGUCUUGGUCCCGACAUUCCUACCUUUAAAUUCUGUCCCAACUCGACCCCGUAGCGUCUCAAUACCGCACGAGCGAACAAAAGUCGCAUAGCCUAACUGCCGAGUGCCGCAUGUGGGAGCGCCCUCUCACAAGCAUGUGCGACUAAGCGCACAAAAUGGCCAAACAAAGCAAGGUACGUCUCAAGUACCAAUCUAUUCUCUUAACAUUAAUAACGCUAGCAUCCCGAAUCUAGUUCGAUUACAUAAGUGAAGUCCCAACACUACACAUGCUUAUGCCGUUCUUUAUUUACAGCUCUUAGCCCACAACUAAACAUGCAUUUCAAUUACCAACAUUAACUCUAAUCCGCUCGCUAACCGCCAGGGCCCAAUGCUCUCAUUACAAUUGACCAAUCUACAUAUCAUCUAAUCCCUAAGCCUUCUCUACUUCAAAAAUUCCCCUCCGUAAAUGUACAUCUGUAUAGUUUGAAUCAUAAACCAAAGGUUUCGUCUUCAUAAAUGGCGAUACAAUUCCAAAACAUCGCAACUAAAUCUCGGUCCCACACCUGAUGCCUUACUAUAUAGAUCCAACUUAACUACAGAUAACUCAUCAUGUAACAUUCUAAAAUUCAAAUAAUAAAAUAUAACAUAAAUAUCUGCUCUUUUCAUUAUCGACCACAAAGUUAAGCACAAUGAAUUCUCAUUGGGUGUGCUACGUCAAACCCACGAAUCCGUCGCGUAGUCCGGAUUCCCGAAAAAUGUCCACGAGCCUCAAGAAUCUAAGUGACAGCGAAGAGAUACAGAGUCAUUAUAACGACCAACCAAGGAUACCAAACACAAAUCUAGAAACAAAUAGGCCAAACUAACAACUCCAAGAAAGACAUCUCCCCAACGCUCCAAAGAGACUAAACCUCCAAGCCAAGCACAGGAAGGUCUAAAACCAUCAAUAACCACCAAAAGCCCCUAACCAGAAGCCCAAAAUCACAACCUAAACUCAUCUCACGUUCCCAACACAAAAACCAUCAAACAAAGUCUAGAGGAGGAAAUGGGCAACAAAAUGUGCUAUUACCUCCUUAGAAGUCCCACCUAGCUCAAGGUGAAUCCCUCCUAAUGCAAGCCCAAGCCCAGCCUUCUAGCACCAAACCAGGAAGAUGAAGUCGGGAGGAAGGUGCUCCAACUCACAUCUCCAAACUGUCUUCUUCUCCAGCCCAUCUCUCCUUCUCCUUCUCCUCCCUUCUUCUCUCUCUAACAAGUAUGGGAUGUGAGGAAAGAAAUGAGAAAAGAAGAGGGAAGCGCAUAGGUAAACCAUCAAAUAACAAAAUCCCAGAGUCUCCAUCAAAAAUUCCAAAAAUACGUCAGCCCGACCGCAGUUUCGCUACAGAGGAAACGUCUCUAACCCCGCAAGGACGCGGUCUCUUCGCUGCGAACUAUAUAUCCGAAAAAAUCUCAGCAUUUCGUAUAUGUCUCGCCUGUCAGUCGACCGGUUACUCAGGCUUCCUCAAACGCUGCAUGGAGGGAACCGUCCAUCCUCAGAGACCGGGGGUCCCCGCAGAGUAAAAAACUCUCAGGACAAUCCAAAGUUCCAGAUUUCAACUUUUCGGUCGGGAAACAUUUACACACCCUGCCACCCCAGUGGAAAACUCCAAAUUACACCAAACAACUCGAACUCCUCGCUAUUCAAAGUCGUGUGUUAACAGUAUAGUUCGUCCAACAAUCAGGAACCUCUCGACAUUAGAUCAUAAAGUUCACAAAGCGUCACUAAUCAUCAAUUUGAUGCAAACAACCUACUCGCUGCGGAGGACAACCUCUGCAGCUUGUUGAAACGUCCCUGCACUGAGUACAGAACCACCACCUCGUGAGAUGAAUUUCCAACACUAAAACUUAUCGCCUUGUCAAGUCAGCAAUAAGGUUCUUCAGAUUCUUCAGGGACUCCCUGACAACCGGAUCGAACCGGACCUUCUUCAAGUGGUACGUUCCUUAGAAACCCACAUGACGACUCUCCUACCACUACCAGACUCCCGCUCCCAGCCAUAAGCACCAAAAAGCACCAAGUACGACAAAAAUGUCAUUUCACUAUACAAAAAUUGCAUACAUGAACCAAUUCUGAAAAAUCGUAAAAAUAGCGAACCCAAUCUCAAAUACAUUAAAUGCAAUACAAAAGCAUUUCUAACCAAUCAUGCAAAAAUUCAGCAAAAAAUCAAUAAUUUGAAAAAUCCCAGAAUCACCAACAUCAAUUGAGCAAUAAUCUUAGAUCAGCGAAAAAAACUUUGGAUUUGUCAUGAUUUUCUACAAGCAAGGUAAGCUUAAGCAUGAUUAUAGCAAAAAUUAGCAUCAAAAAACGGAUAAGAACAGGAGAUCUAUACCUUACCCGCAAACAAAACCAAAACUAACAAAACCGGAUAAACUACCACAAAUUGAUGCUUCAAAACUAACAAAUCCACCGGAAAAUAUUAAACGAAUGAAAGAGAGUCUCUGGACUCACAAACCAAAAUUUUGGAAAACGAUUGAGUUUGAGAAAAAUCAGAAGCGUAUACUCCCGUAUAAUCCGCUCGUCCGCAAUCCUGUAACCGGUUUAAACCACCCGGGGGUUUUUCCGUACAAGUGACCAAAGUGAAAAAAUUUUCGAAAAAACUACUUUAAAAAAUCCAUCACAUUUAAAUUAAAUCAAUAGUUAAAGCAUUUACUCAAAAACAUGUAAUGAAAAUAAAAAGAAAAAUUUCAAAAGCACACAUCAAAACAUCAAAUUUCAAAAACUAACAAAUAAUUCUAAGAGUCAAAACCAUCAACGAGUAACUGAUGAAAAAUGAUUAAAAAUUAACAAAAUUGACACCAUCUUGUCUGAACACUUCAAAAAUAAGAUUAAUAAUAUGGCAUCGGUGGCUGCCUCUUUGAGCAUCUUAUUCAACUUACCACUUAUAACUCCCAAAAUUUAUAAAAUAAUCUUUUUCUCACCUUCUUCGGACAUUUUAUCAAUUAACUCAUGUGGACUCACACACUUGCCAGACGACCUAACGGUAGCAUCUUCCUCAACAUGUUUGAGUUUCACACAUCAACUUUCUAGAAUGUAACUCUUCCACAUCUUAUUAAACAUAUUGACCAGUUUUUCAUUCCAUUUUUUUCUUUAUAUACCAAACUCCCCUAAAAUUAGACAAUCUCACAAUGAAAAUAUAUUUACGAAAUUUUUAGUCAAUUAGAGAAUAUCCAUCAUCACACCAAACACUUCAAAUCAAGGAUAAAAUCAUCACAAAAAUCACAUGAUCAAACUUUGAUGAAUAAUCAAAAGAAAUAUAUAAUAUAUUCUCGUCAAAUAAUAAAAUAUGGAGUAAAGAAUAAUAACUAGAAUACCCUAAUAUGAUUUUGAAGAAUAAACAACCCAUUAACAAUUUGUAAAAAAAAACUUACUCUCCAAAAAAACUAUCUAAUAUCCUUAUCCAUCAAAAUAAUAUUUAACCAAAACAAAAUCAAAGCACCAGAAUCAUUUAAAACUAUGUAAUGCAAUGAAAAAUAUCACAAUAACCAACUCUAUCAAAGCAUUACACUAAAGACGAUAAAAUGACUAAGACGAGAUCAACGAAAGAUAUCACCUUCCGGUAUCCAAAAACUUUCGACUACUCUGCAUUACUCGACUUGUCGCAUUAAUCGUUGUCUUAGAUUUUUAUCAAUACGACUGGUGUUCAUUGCUUGAGCUUAGGUAGAACUUGGCGAUAGCUUAGAAUCUGAUUCUUACAGGCACCGACAUAAAUAUUGCAUUUUAUUCCGUGGAGGGAUUCGAAUAUAAAUGACGCCGGAUGCCUGUUUUGAAUUGCCGAUUAUAGACUAUGCAUUUUUGCUUGGGCCAAUUCUUAUUGACAUGUCCUCGAUCUACAUCUAGAACACUUGCCCUCAAGUAGUCUGAAUUUAAUGCGGUUUGAUCCUUCUCAACAAGUCACUUAUGAUCAGACCAACCAUUCUGUUGACGCCAAUCCAUACAUUUGUCCAACAUCUGAUCCCGAAGAAAAUCGUUGAGAUCGGAUUGAGUGACAACUGGUGAAUCAACACUUGAUUGCACUUGUGCGAUUAUCAUGAACAUUGAAUCUCCAAAACCAAUUGCAUAAGGAUUGAUCGACUGGAUCCGCAUCCGCUAAGAACUUCAUCUGAUGUCCAAUAACUUUACAUGGUGAUAUCCCUUCUCCUCCUCAAAACCUAUUCAAAUUCUUUACGUUGUUGUUUUCCCCUACAAGUCCAACAAACGACGUCUCACUCUGUUGAUUUAGACCAUAUCUUUAUCAAUAUAGUGAUUUACGCGCCGCUAUUCUCGUCUUUGAUUCCGCCUACCCUCUCUCCCCACCCAUCGUUACCCCGCCAUGAAUCAUGUGAAAAAAGAGAAAUAUUGGAAGUUAGUAACAAAAUAGUAAACACCAACACUCACAGGAGCAUCUACAAAUAGACAAUUGACACUUCUUUUCUUCAUCACCGAGCUUGAUCACCUCGAAAUUGUAUCAUACCCACGUCUUUCUGCAUGCCUCUUAGUAUAUUAUUGUGCAGGACAACACUCCGUAUCUCUGACCGGGGGUAGCCUAUGCACUGAAACAUUGAUCUCGCUCAAACCCAUCCUUUGCCUUUCGACAGCCUUUGUCACGCUCUUCUCUUUAAAUUUAAAUUAGAAAAAAAUUGCUCUAGUAGAGCCAUUGUCUGAGUUGCUCUCUUCCGAAAUCCGACCGAAACUUCUUCCGCUGAGAAGCGCCAAUUUGUUCAACACCCAAUAUAAAUCCAAUCAUCGAAUCUCGAUCUACGUCCUCCCUUGUAGAUAUCAUACAACACCUUGCUUUAGAAUAAAGACUGAAAGAAGAUUGGAUUAUAGAAAGUCAUCCUCCAUAAGUGCAAAGCGCCUACUAAUCUUCGAUCUCAUCUCGUCGGAUCUAUAACCGUUUCGAUCCAGCGACUCACUUAGGCCCUAAACCGUCCGGAAGAGUCGAAGGAUUUCCAAACCAACCUUGAAUCGAGAUUUCGCAUCCCAAUAGCCAGUAUUUAUGAUACUUGAACCUACGUAUAAUCUUAACAAGAAUCAUGCCCUCCAUAAACGAUAAAACAAAUGCUAUCAUUAUGAGCUUCCUGAAUUUACUAACAGUACUCAAAAAAAAAAACAGCAGUACACACAACCUACGACUACUAACAAAAUUCAGCGUCUAGGGCAACACAUCACAACAACCUCAAACAGUACACUCUACUACGUCCUACUUCGAAGCAAUAGAACACAUGUACAAAUCUACAUAAUAUAGCGAUUAAGUCCGCUCUUGAUCACCCGACCAAGGUAAAUUUAUAAAGGAACAAAUCGAUUCCACAAAACCAAGUUGUCACACUACAUAGAUUUUCCUUAACCAAUCUUAACACACCCAUUAUGAUGCUACCCGAGUGCCUGCGCCUCAUACAGUCUAACAAAACUCUUGGCAAACGUAUACUCCUUCUCUCUAAUACUAUCUAAUCGAGCACAAGGAAUAAAAUGUUCUCCCUAAACCAUAUCUGCAAAACUAUUCAAAAUGAUGCACAACAGCACCUCGGUCUAAAUAACUUCGAACAAUAAUCACAUUAAGAAAUCUCCACAGCGAACAACUUCCAAAAAUCAAAAAGAACAAAAAAUAUCCUCGAAGCGACCCACACUAAACGAUAGUCAAUUCUGAAGGCUCCUAUACAACAAGUAUAUGUAUCUAAUCUCGGCAACAGUACUUUCUCAAUCAAUACGAACAAACGUAAACCUUAUAAAUUUUAUAUUAUCACAGAAAAUAAAAGAACGAAUCCGUCACUCACCAAAACAAAACCGGAACAAUAUUAAGCUACUCAUUCUAAUCACAGUAAACUUUAGCGACGAUAUAAAAAUCUCAUCUACUCGAACAAACCGUAAAACAUAAUUAAAAUUCUCAAUUACCCCCGAUGAUGAAAUUAAACGAAACAGAGAUCAACGUUCAACAAACAAAAGAAACAACCAAAAUUUAACCUACUCAAUCUGGCCUCCCUAACAUAAUAAAUUGCGACUAGCUGAGUCUAUCUUCAAUCAAUAACAAAUUUAUCUUAAUCCCCUCGUGAAAUAACCCAAAAAAUUGAAAGUUAACACAAAACGUAACACAAACCUAAUUCAUCAUAGUUUCUAAUAUCCCAACCAAAAAAGAAAAAUGUAUCAAUCACCAGACGGGGUGUAAUCGAAAAAUAAUCGUAAGGAUAUGUCAACAGUCACAAACAAAAACACAAAACCAACAAAAUCCGCUCGAAUGCCAAAAGAAAAACAAAAUAUCACUGAAAAAAUAAACUAGCCCCAUCACAUUCGCCCCCCAUACCCCCCAAUCUUCCCAGGAGAAUAUAUACGCUCGGACAAAAUCCAAAACCGAGUAUAAAAAACACCUGGGACCAUGUUCCCAACACGCGGAUAACAAGAACAAAAUAUUACAAUGAUAUGAUUAUCAUUCUAAGUAACUCGCAGAAGAAGAACCAAAACAUAUACACAUCUCGAUUAAAUAAUAGAUAUUAUCUCAAUCAUACACCCACAAAAACCAACUGUUGUCACGCCCAGUCCGUCCAGAGAUCACGAAAGCCACGCCCGAAAUCGCCCCAGAAAAACUCACCACCUGGGGGGUCAAUCCACGAAGCCCGAUCACCAGUCGAAUCCACGACCGCCACCGAUCUCCACACACGCCAUCCCAUCCACGAACCGUCUCUCGUUCACAGCCUCUCACUGCGAAUCACCCCGUCAUAGAGCAUCAAUUGAUCCUCGCUUAGGAUACGAGAAAACAGGAAUAAGAACUCCAAGCGAAAGUCGGAUCAAUCAGACAUAUUAAUAUCAUAAAAUUUCAAUACUCGAUUUGAUCUAACAAGAGCUAUUUGUAGAAAAUAGGUUUAAGACUAAAUCGCACCCUAGGUUCUCAAACAUUGUAAUCUAUGAGCGAUGGUUAGAGAACCCAAAUAGCUAUUACUAAGACUUUCAGAAUCAAUUGACCGAAUAGACAAUUCUUCCAAAACACGCACCUGUACGAAACAAGGAAGUGACCAGGUACACCAUGACGAAGAUUUCUGCGAACUCUGUACCCGGAAGCUCCUGUUCCGACACUUUACCGUGGUACAGAGGCAUGAACUGUACGGAACACCCAUCAAACUUCUGCGCAAACUGAUGCAUGAUCCUGAUAAAAACCCUUGCCGUACAUGUGUGCACAUAGCAGAUUUUCGGGAAAUGCCAUUGUUCAAGGCAUUUACAUAACUCUAGAAAACUUCUAACAAUAUUCAACUGAAAAAAUAUUCUAAUGAUCUAUAAAUAAUAUAUCCCCAUAAACAAGAUUAAAACUACCCUACCAACGGAUAUCAAGUGCGUUUUUUGCGCUUAACUCCAGAUCUUCGAAGUCUGAGGAUCUCGACUCUUUCAAAUACAACCUAUUGCUCCGACUUCUUCAAGACUCCCUACACGUCUCGCUCGAUUUCUUCUGGUAUACCCAUCGAAACUUGCACAAACACUAUACCUACAGCCAAGGCUGAGAAGCGUCUCGUCGAACCUCAGGGUGCGGCCAGCGAGGAGAACAAGAAAGACCUAGCAUGGCCCAGUAGCCUAGAGCGAACAGCAGGACCAGACGCGGACGGCGCCUGCUUGAACGGUGGCGAUACCGACGGGUGAUUAGUCGCCAAAGGGCUGGCCUCGCUAUCAGAGUGAGCCCAGGUGAGGAACCUUCCUAGCAGUAGCACAGGCACGAUGGGGAGGUGCCUGGACAACAAACACCGAAGAGAGGUGGAGGCCCCAUGCGCGAAUAAUCCAAAGCCAAGAUGCUUUAUAAUCGCAAUAACAUCGACCAGCAAAAGCCGCGCUGGUACAGACGACAAACGAAGGCCCGGCUGAGAGACAAAGCACACAUACGCAUAUGUGGAAGGUGGUCGCUAGGACGGUCCAGCGAGUGGUUAUACUGGUUAAGGUUUCCUCAAGUGAAAACCUAGCUACUCCUAUAUAAAAGUGACAAUUGCAACUAAGUCACCGAUGGAGCCAAAUUUUAAAACCGAGUCCUCACAGCGGAUAAAGCCGACCAACUACUCCACAUUCGAUUCACGCAAACAAGUAUAUAAAAGUCAACUUUCGUAAAUUACCCAGUUUCAAUAUCAGGAAACCUCGAUAACAAGCGAAUCAGAAUCGCCAUUCAACUUUGCGAACAGAUCGCAACUAAUCAAUCACGACGACAAAGACAACCAAUCCACAUCCAUUUGUUUGCCUGUUUGUCGUGAUCAAACGAAACGCCAUUCUUCUAUCCAAACCANNNNNNNNNNNNNNNNNNNNNNNNNNNNNNNNNNNNNNNNNNNNNNNNNNNNNNNNNNNNNNNNNNNNNNNNNNNNNNNNNNNNNNNNNNNNNNNNNNNNGGUUCACUUUAGUUGUUUCGCUCAUUGCCAAGAAUCUGAUGCAGGAUGAGGUGGUGUGGUAAACAGAUGGGGACUGCAAUACCCACUAGAAACUUGGUAAACAAAGGUUCGUUUCUCCGCUCGGGGAGGUGGAGAUUCGUCAAAUUAGUGGGGAGAUUACCAUUUAGAUUUAAAACCCAAUCAAAGGAUUAAAUUAAACUAACAAUUAGAAUCUUAACCUUACAAAAAAAUGGCUGCAUCUUAAACCCACUUGCCAAAAUAGCCUUUGAUAAUUGAAUGUGCUUUAACUGCGACCCGAAUUUCAGCCGAUUGGCUGAGGAAAGUUGGAAAUUGUUCGUCAAUUUGAGAAACUAGCCUAUGUGUUUGGACACGGAGGCUCAGCAGUGCCCGAAAUUCGACGCUGCUCAACGAAACAGCUGCAAGAAAUAAAUGGAACUGAUGACGAUAUGAAGGGUAAAAUGGUUUACCAUGCUUGCGUCUAUGGAGCAAUGAGUUGCAACGCAAACAUGAGCACAUGGAGAGUGCUUGCUGAUAUUCUUACUUACAUCUCAAGGAUUUGUUUGGAUGGAAGAAAGUCAAACAGCUCGCUACGAGUUUUUGUCGGAAGCGAACUGUGCGGAGGCAUAAGAUGUCUGACGACUAUGUCAUUGAAACUAUGUAGACUUAUCGGGGUUUUCUACUUUCACAGUGGGUUUCAUUGACUCUGGAUGCACCGUUCUCAUUUAUGUAUUUGCCAAUAGCAAGGGCUAAAACAAAGUAGAGACGUUAAGGAGUGAGAGCUUACCCUACGCGUGGAGAACGGAGCAAGAGUUGCUGCUGUUGCCGUUGGGGACUUAUCCUUUAUUGGUCUAGGCCGAUAGGAGGUAGUUUUAGAACUUAGAGAUUGUCUUAUAUGUUUCCUUAGUGCGACUUAGAAACCUUAUUUCUAUUUCACGUUUGGUAAUGGAUGGUUAUAAGUUUAUUUUGAAUCAAACGUUUGUUUCACAUUUAUUGAGAGAAUGAAUUGGAUCGGUUAUGGUUCUUGUAAUUGACACAUCGUCUAUCACUUACAUAUGGAUGUUAGUGUUAAGUACAUUGAUAUGCAUGGACAUGAGAAUAUCAUUGGUUAUCACAAAGACCAGGAGAGGAGGUAAAUAAAACGUAGUUUGUGGAUCUUAGACUGGGUCACAUUGGGAGAAUGAUAGGAUUAAACAAGUUGGCUAAGAAUGGGUGUCUUAGGUCCCUUACCUGCUGAACCAUAGCCAGCUUGUGAUCAGUGUCUCAAGGAGAAAAUACUCAGUUCUCCUUUUGGUUAGACAACUGAGAAAGAGCUCUGAAGUACUCGCCGCUAAUAGUCGAUACUGGAUGUAUGUGGAACCUCAUUCGGGUGUCUGCUUGGGUGGCCUAUCUCUACUCUUACCUUUACUGAUUGAUUAUUCAAGGAUGGGUACGUGUUACUUAUAAACACAAGUCGAAGCCUUUGAAAAUUAAAGAGUUAGACAAGAAGUAGUGAACAAGCAAAUGGGAAAACCAAUUAAGGCCUUUCGAUCAGAUCGAGGAGGGGAAUACCUUAGUACGGAUUUCCUAACCUACUCAAGGAUUAAUGGUAUUGUCUCUCAAUGGAACUUCUCCUGGAACCACCAGAAUUGAAGAUGGGGUGUCUGAACGGAGAAAUCGAAACUUGUUGAUAUGGCUUUCGAAUCCAUUGAUGAGCUUUUACAGUCAUUUACGUAAUAUCGUUUUGGGGUUACGCACUUCUUACGGCUAUUUAUGCAUUUAAACAGAGUGCCUUGCCAAAUCUGUUCUGACCACACAUAUGAGGAUGUGGCAUGGUAGAAGCAAGUUGUUACUGAUAUUAUAAACUUGGGGAUGUCCAGCUUAUAUUAAGAAAUUAAAGACGGGACAGUUUGGAAAGCAGAUUCAGUCAAGGGUAGAUUCAUUGGUAUCCCAAAGAAUCACUGGAUACUAUUUUUAUCUCCCAUUGAGAGCCAUAAUGUGAUUUGGUGAGCCGUCAUGCCUCUUUCGUUGAAAGUGAAUUUAUUUGGCUGGACAGGCAGGGGAGAAAAUAGGAACUAGAUGAGAAAGUCUUUUAGAAUCAAAUAUUCCAGAGAGCCCUCCCUGAUAACUCUUACAUUGAAGUUACAGCCGGCCACCUCGCAAGUCUAAGCUAGGGUCUCCAUCCUCCUGAUAGAUACAUGGGAUGGGGUAAUUUAUAGAGGAGAUGGAGGAAAUGGUCCUAAUGGGAGAUAUAGACCAGUAUUUUUUUUUUGAGAUAUCCUAAGACUUGUAUAUGCGAGCAUGUCAGACAUCGACUCCGAUAAGGAUGGCUUGGAAGCUAUGAAGUCCGAAAUGGAUCCUCAAUGUACUCCAUAUCAGUAUGGACUUGUGGUAGGAAUCCACCGGGAGGGUAUAUGUACCUAUUUGGAUGUAAAUGGAUUUUAGAGAAAGGAUGGUUCUGAUGAAAAGUAGAGACUUAUAAAGCUAGGCUAGUAGCAAAAGGUUAUAGUCAAACGCGAAGGCCGAUUUGACUAUCAGGAUACCUUUACCGUAAGCUGAUGCUUAAGUCUAUCAGAACUUGCUUGUGCUAUGCCUGCACACUAUGACUAUGGAGAUCUUUGGCAAAUGGAUUGAAAACUGCCUUCCUAAAUGGAUAUCUUUGAAGAGUGAUAUCUAUAUGGAGCCAGCCUUGGUUUCAGCUCCAAAGAUGAGGCAUUCAAUAAGGGGUGCAAAGCUUCAACGAUCCAUAUUAUGGAUUAAGCAAGUCUCGGAGUUGGAACACUCGUUUCAGAUGAUGCAAUUGAGAUCGUUCCAAUUUCAUCAAGAAAUGAGGAAGAGCCGUGUGUAUAUAAAAAGAUUAGUUUUGGAGUGCUGUUACUUUUCGUUACUGGUACGGUGGAUGACAUACUUCCUGAUUGGGAAUGACAAUUCCUAUGGCUUGAACAUCGGUCAAGGUUAUGUUAUCUAAAGAGUUUGCUAUGAUAAGACCUUGGAGAAGCAUCUAUCUCUAGGAUAAAGGUCGUAUAGGGAUAGACCUUAAGAAGUUGCUUGGUUUUAUCGCAAGUAUGUUCAUAGAUGAAGUGCUGAAAAGGUUCCAGCAUGGAGAAUUCCCAAAAGGCUAUUACCUCUAAGACAUGGAAUGCACCUCUAAGACUAUGUCUCCUAAGAACAUCUUGAAGAGAGAAGUCACACUGAGCAGGAUCCCUUAUGCUUCAGGCAGAUAGGGAGCUUAAUGUAUGCGAUGCUAUGUACUAGACCUGAUUAUAGACAGGCUGUGAGUGUUCACGGCCUAUAUCAGGUCGAACCCAGGACAGGCACAUGUGCGGUAGCGAAAGAAUAUCCUUAAGUACUUGAGAAGAAAAAGGAUAGUUCCGUUGAUUUUUGGAGGAGAGAACUCAGAAUUGAAUGGCUAUGCGGAUCGGACGUUAUGGUCAGAUAAGACGAUAGAAAGUCUACGUCUGGGUAUCUGUUUAUUUGCAAUGGUGAGGUCAAUAGUUUGGAAAAGUUCCAAGCAAAAGACGAUUGCAGAUUUACUAUGGAAGCAGAGUAACAUCGCUGCAUCUGAAGCUGCCAAGGAAAGCUGUUGGAUCAAGAAAUUUGUCACUAGUUUGGGGUGGUCCUUCCAGUAAGGAUCCCGCCGACUAUACUGUGAUAAUAAUCGGCGCCGUAGCUUAGCUACAGGAAGGCCAGGUCUCAUCAGAAAUCCAAGCACAGGGUGAGCGCGGUAUCACAAGGAUCAGAGAGUUACCAUCAAGGAUAAACAUAUUGAAGUGCAGAGGUUGCCCCAUGGAUAAAUGUUGCGGGACCCCUAACAGGCAUUGACUCAGCAGAAACUGAGACUCAUCUUGAGGAGAUUGGGCAUUAGGUACAUGGCUUAUUGGCUUUAGUGCAGACGGUGAGAUGUGUAGUGUGAUGGCGCCCGUAGAGCGCUAUCAGCUGACCGCAUUUUAUGGGUUUCGUAAUGGAGCGAUAUAUGUUGUUACGUUAGAUGCUGUAUAUUUGAUAUGAAUUGGUGUGACCUGGUGCAUGUUAAAUGUUCCAUGAAUUCCUUUGAAUUAAGUAGAGAUGAGAAUUGUAUCUCAAGAUGAAGGAUUUGAGGAUGAGCGGAGAGUGUAUUGUGAUUGAUCAUAAUGAUGCUGGCUGCGAGGGUCGAGGGAUCAGGGUUGGUUUGUCCGAGGGGACGAGUGGGAGCGAGAGAGUGGUGCGGGCGUGUGGGAACGAAUCUGCAAGGCAAGAAUCGAGAUGUGAAACAACAGUGGAGGAGAGAACAUAGACAAAAGUGAAUUGUUAAGAGAGAACAGAGAGUAGUAGUAGCUGUAGCGUGAAAACACUAAACAACAAUAUAUACGAAAAACAGAAAUGGACAUGUCAAAACAAAUACAUUCAGAUAACAGAUAAACAUAGAGAUCAGAGAAUGUAUAGCAGUGGAUACAAAAAAAAACUAGAAAUCCAUUAACCUGCAACAAACCAAACGGAAAAAUACAUUCAAAUAAUGAAAGGUAAACUGAUAAGUAAUUGAAACAUAUAGCAACAACAUAAACUAAGCCACACAUAAAAGCCAACAAUGAGACAAAAAUUAAAGAUAAAAUAUAGAUGGUAAUUGGCAUGCAGAAAUCAAGAACUAACAAAAAAAAAAUCAGGAAAAUUAGUGUAAUGAAUUAUAAAAUGUAGGAGAUCAUAUCGCAUCAGUCCAGGAAUAAGAAGAAGAUAAUUAAAGAAAAUCUAAGACAUAUAUAAUGAUAAGGCAAAAACAUCAGAAUCCUCAGCCGGAAAAUAUGGUGUAAUGAAGAAGAUACAAGAGUAAAACCAAAAUAAGAGCUAUCUAGAUAAACAACUGUCAAUUUGUCAUUAAAUAUGACGAGGGAUGGGUUUAGACGAAAAUAAAAACCAUAGAAAACCUCCACUCAGUUGAGAAAUAUAAGCGAGUAGAAGAAAUUGAUUAAUUGGUACCGGUAACUGACCAUAGAGGUUCAGCUCCGAGAAUAAGAAUAAUAUUUCACAUUAAUCUGACUGGAUAGAACCACAUACAUGACUGCUAGGCACACUUAGAAGGUGGAAUAGUGAGAAACUAAAUAAGAAUAAUAUAUUAAAUAUAUUCAAUAAUUAGGAUGAAUCAAAAAAGUAAUUGAGAUCAUCGAAAAGAGUUAUCGAAAUGAUGAUGUGGAUGGAGAUCGCAAUAAUACAAAAUCCACUAAUCAGACAGAAAUAGAACACUAGAUAUCACACACAUAAGAAAUCGCGCAAUGAUAGAUAAAUUAAUAUACGAUUAAAAAGAAGUAUAAGCAGGAUGGAUUAAUAAUAAUAUAUAAUAAUAUAGUAAUAGAAUACUAAAGUAUUAUAGAUAUCAUAGUAAAAAAGAAACUAAAUUCCAAUUGUGGUUUCAAUUAAGAAGGAUAAAUUUAUGUGAAAAUAAUGACAUAGUGUAUUUACUAUACAAUUAUAAAUAAUAAUGAGGACUUAUGUGUAAAUGUCUGACAAUGAAUCGAAUUAGAAUUAGGAUUCGAAUUCGUAAUUCAUAAACCAAACUGCUGGGUUAAUGGAUCAAUCUAAUCGGAAUAGGAUUCGAUUAGGGAUUACGUUAAGGUUUUCUCAUUAUAACAUAGUGAUUAGCAUAUGAGCAUAUUAAAUUAUGGAAAAUUAGUAAAAAGGGAAAAAGAAAACCCUAGCGUCAAUCCUUUCUUUUACUUAAUACACACCAAAGACAAUCAAUCAAAAUAAUACAGAUACAAAAAAAGUAGCAUUAAGCAACAUCUAGAAAAAGAAACUUGCGAUCUUCCUCAGAGUCGACGCGAAGAAUAAGUGUCGUGAUCGGAUCACUGGUUAUUGAAGCGGUCGUCGGAUUCGAUCAUAAGGGUCGUGUUUCUGUGUGGACGCUUGCCGGUAGGAGCCGGGCGCUUGCGCGCUAACCGAGAGACGAACAAAUUUACCAACGAUUGUGCGACUUCCAGCGGGGGUAGAUCUCGACCGCGGAGUAAAAUAAAAGUAUAUAGAUCCUAUUUGAUUAGAUUAUUAAGAUCAUUGAUUAAAUGAUUCUUUAAAACGAAACACGGAGGUGAUCUUUGGUGUUUUCAGAAAAAUUUUUUGAAUUGUGUUAUUUUCUUCCGCUGCGUGCACAUGUGAUUUUCUGUUAGCAUCGCUCCACUAAGGUGGUGCUCGAAACAGCUUCUCCAUCAUUGCAUCAACCACUUCUCGGACAAUCCAGGUGGUCGACGUUCUCGCAUCAAAACGUCCUCGGGCUGCAACUCCUUGAACGUCGCUGAGGCGCUCCAAAGCCGGAAAAAUCGACCCGCUCGGGCUCCCUCGCCAGCACGGGAAUAAUGCGCCAUCCGUCGUCGGUCUCUCGGGAAGCUGUAAUGCCGCAAAGCCAGCCUCCUGCCCGAGGUGCGGUCGCCGGUGCGCACGUGAAGCGCUGGGCUGCGGGGGACUGCGCCCUCGUUGCGACGUCCACUGACGGUGCUGGCUGGUGUGGGGACCUUGGGUCUCCUCGGAAGGCUGGCGGCCUGCUAAAAUAGGAGGUCCUCGAGAGGCUGCGUUUCGGAUCCCGCGCCUUUCCUGCCGUUGAGCCACCCGUCGGCCUGUCGCUGCGCGCUGCCGUGCGUGCGUGCGCCAACAGAUCGAGUGGAGAACCGCAAGCUGGGCCUCAAGGUCAGGACCUUGCUAGAUCUGGAAGUAGCGGAGGUCUCGAUCCUCCUCGGGGGGUGUGCCGCAUCAUGCCGCCCCGGCGGACGUGGGGAGCGUGGAAUCGACAUCGGUCACUACAAAACACUAAAAGCGGCAAGUUGAGUAAUCACUGCUAUCGCAACCACGCUCAAAUAGAUAAACCUCAAAUCAUGCUGAAAAGUAAGGAAGUAGUCCGUUCACUACUAACUGCCCGAUAUUACGGUUGUCGCCGCCAAACGUUAACCCUCCGCUUGAAGUUAGAAAGCCGAUACCUCCGAUCGAACUCUUAACUUUUUAUUGAGUUAUCAAGACACCCAAUCAGGAUACUUUCGCUGCCACACGUCAAAUACGACCGUCGUCUCUCACGAGCCUAUUUCCUAUAUCCAACCGGCCGUAAUGGUUUGCUUAGGUCCACAAAGUCAACCCUAGGCUCUGAUACCAAAAUUAAUCUGUCACGCCCGGGACGGCGAAGGCCUCCCUCCCGGUAGCGUUCCAGACUACCACUAUGUCUACACAUAUUAAGGCGUCUACAACAAAAGCGGAAGUGAAAGCAAGAGAUGAGAACAAAUAAAAGAAGUGAAAUAACUCGCAUAUAAUAAUUAUCAGAGCGACACGUAAAGUUCUUAUCAUCUACACCAAAGUAAAGAAAAAAGCUAGACCAAUAAAAGAAACCAUAAGUAGUACAAUAUCUGUCUCUAGUACAAAAAUGGUGGUCUCUAGUACCACUGGUAAAAACCCUCAACCUCUCUGGUAAAAAAAGGUAAAUAUCGGAGAGGUAGACUCAGCCUAGCAACUGCGUCCUCGAAGAAAGCUAGGCUCGAACACUCCGCUUCCCCACGAUCCCUGCCUCACCCUGCGUGGAAGGCUCUGAAAACAUCGAGAAAAGAUGCGUAAGAACUAUAAUUUAUAGUUCCCAGUGGCAAUUUACUGACCUCAGCUCAAUGCACCACUAGCCUUAAAGAAAAAGGGGUAUAAUUAACUGACAGUAUAGUAAUAUGCAAUUAUAUAUAUGUAUAUCUAAACUGCUGAAAGAAGCAUGAAUAUUGAUAUUAUUGUUUUUUUAUAUCUAUGUAUAUAAUGUUUGUUUGUCUAUGGUGAUGUACAUUACGCGUAUCAUAAGGUAACUAUAUCGCAAUGCAUACUAAUAUGCCUCAACAUUAGAUAACAAGAAACGCUCACAAUACUAUAUGCCAAAAUGAUAAGGAGUACGCGCUCUAUUCAAGAUAACCAGUUUAUAUGCUGGUAAUGCAUGAAACCGACAAGUGUAUAUAGGGUACCCCAUUGCUAUGUCAUGGAGUAUGUCACCUAAUCGCGAAUCUAAGCCUAUCUAGUAGCGAUUUAUUCAUUCUCAACACCGGUGUCGAUUUCCAUUUCCAAUCAAGGACCUACCAAAGGUAUCAGUUCGUGCGCCUAAGUGCCCUGUGGUAGCGGCAUCCCUACGCUUGGAAUGUUCAUAUCCCACCUCGGAACCCGUAGGCUUUUCUCAAUAUCGCGACGAGGCAAAAAAACCAACGGUUAGGUCGGGCGAGGUAACUCUGGGAGUUAGCGGCUUGUACGGGAGCGACCUCACAAGCCAUGUGCGAAUUGGACACCAAAUGGCAAGCAAGGCAGUUAGUCCAAGUCUCAAGUAUCCACCCUCAUGUCUGCUAAACAUCGUAAAGUCACUAGCAUCCCUCGAAGGGAUUCUAGUUCGUAAGUCACAAAAUGAAGUUGCCAACAUCCUCGUAGGUCUAGGCCUUUAUGACACUUAGGAAUUUAAUGUUUAAGCAUGUGUGGCCCAGGAGCUGCGAGAAGGCCGCCUGCCACUACGGUUGCGGACAUUGUCCCGAGGCUCAAAUGCCGCUUGGAUGACAUUAGCUCUCUAGUUCACACACCUCUAAAUGAAAGCAAGUUUUGUCAUUCUUUCAUGUCACAAGUAAACUUGUAAGUUUAAUGCGAUGAAGCCGAACUCCAUUUACAUAUAGAAGCAUGGAAACCAAGUCGUCAUAAAGAAGCUAGAGAUACAACCAUAGAUCUCCCAAGCAUACUCUCUACGUAGCAUAGAGCGUCCAAAAUUUAUCAUAUGUUAACAGGUAUGUAUUUUAGAGUUUUAAGCAUUCUAAAAAUCAUAAUAAAUACAUUUAGUAUGAACAUGCAUGCUUUUUCAAUUAAUGAUACGUAAUUCAUCACAAAUGAGAAUUUCUCAUUGUGUGGCUAGGUCAAACCUACCGAACCGUCGCGUAGUGCCUCGUUUCGCAAAACAAAGUUGUCCCCGAGUCCCAAAAUACCCUAAAAGUAUUGAGCGACAAGAUACACGGGCAUUACGAUCAUCUUAUAAUAUCAAACAUUAACCUAGAAGCAAAAGGGGUCAAAUCUCACCUCAAGAGAAGAAAUCUCUUCCAAAGCUCUAAAAGAGAGCUAGAACCCUUCCACUCCAAGCCCAAGGAAGGUUCUAAACCAACUAAUUUAGCCCCACAAUCCCUAGAUUCAAAAUACCCAAAAUAAGCCCUAAGUAUCAAAUCUAGGGUUUCAUCUAAAAAACUUAGCAAAAUAUGGAUCAAAAGCUCAAAUCAUGUUGCUAACCUCUCCAGAAGUCUCAACUUAGGCUCCAAAUCAAAUGGGGUGGAAGAUCUUUCCUCCAACAAGCCUCUAACAAAGCUCCGAGUCCUCUCCAAUGGUGGAAAAAGCCUCCAAGAUGCAAAAGUAGCAAAAAUGAGGCAUAAAAGCCUUAAAAACCAAAUAAAAUGGAAGGAAAGGGAUGGAGGGCUCUCUUACCUUGAUCUCCACCCUCCUCAGCUCAGGGAAGGCCCAAGGGGGCGUGGGUGGUAAUAUAGAAGUCCACAAUUGCGAAAAAUCUCCUGCAGUUCAAACUGCUCAGAAUCUGCACUGCGUACCGGUACACGGGCUCACGUACCGGUACACCUCCCACGAAAAUACCAAACCCGAGCCUCGGGUUUGCUGGAAAACUGCCUGUGUACCGGUACACCAUCCCGUACCGGUACAACCAUCAACCCUGUAACGGUACAGCCAUCAAUCCUAUACCGGUACACGGCCUAAUGAAGGCUACCCGAGAGUCAACCAAAAAUCUGAUUUUUCGGGUUUCGGUGCUAGGCUUCUAACCUCAAUCCUCGGGACUCGAACCAUAGGUCGGAACACUGUCUACGACCGUCCACAAAGUGUGGAAAAGCUCGGAACACAACCAAUCACUUGAACCUCGCAAUUUGCAAAGAUCCAGUGUGUUACAGGACCACAUGGAGGUCCGCAGACGGUCCCGAGCUUGGGUGCACUUGGAGCUCCCUCCCCACUUUGGGAUUGAAGGGUGAGUUAUGGGCGAGCCCUAGGGCCUCGCCAUAGAUUGGGUAUUGGAAAGAGUAAAGGUUUAAUAAUGUCAUUGAACAUUGCUAUUCGAAUAUGGAUCGAAUUUGUUAGCAUGGUAGCAAACCUUAUUUAUAUGAUCAUCUUCAUGAUUACGGGUAUAAUAGCAUAGUUUUCCUACUAUUGCAUUUACAGUUUUCAGAUACAUAUCUAUCUAUCUAUCUGUUGUUACUUGUGCCCACUUGGACCUAGUGGGGAGAUCGGCAGAGUCGGUGGCCGAGCCCACUGGGAACUAUGGAAGAUAGUUCUCACCCCACUCUAUUUCCAGUGGUAGGUACAGGGUUGCCAAGAGAGGACCGCGGCAAGGGCAUCGCGCCCGACCAGUGAGACCAUGGUAGUAUAGUAGCUUUCCUUUUUGCAUUAGUCACCUAUGUAUUGAAAGAGAUUCAUUGUAGGUGAGGAUUUGGGAGAGCCAUGUAUUUUGAGAUGGAAAUGUAUUCAUUUAAAGAAAAUGAUGUAAAUGGGAAUGAUGAAACUAUUGUAAUAGUUAGUAAAGUACUCUCUUUAUUUCACAUGUACAUCUUGUGGAUCACUUGCUCUUGUAUUGUCGGCACUGUUUGUGCCCUUGUGAAUGUGUAUGUUUAGAAUUUAAGUUCCUGGGUAAAUUCUUGUACACAUUCUUGUUGUUGAGCCAUGGGCGGACAGGGGAGGUGCUGUCCGUUCGGCAGUCCGCCGCCGUGGCCGAACCGUGCCAAAUGGGUACUGGUUUUGGGGCGGGGCGUGACAGCGGUCCCCGAAGACGGUCCCUCUGGUGGUAGUGCUUGGAGCCUCCCCGAAUGAAAGAAAUUUUGGGUUGUGAGUAUUUUAGGGUUAACAAGGUUAACAGGUAUGAUUGGGUAUAAGCCAAGGUAUAUUGUGGAAAGAGCAUCCAUGCAUAUUCAUCAUACAUAUGAUUAUCUAUCUGUUGACAGUUUUCUUGCGGGCAUAGUAUUAGCAUUAGUAUGAUUUGCUAUUUUCUUUUUUUGAAAUACUUAUGCCUAAAUAGACCUAGUGGAUAAGUCGGCGAGGUCGGUGGCCGAACCCACUGGGAACUUCGUUGUAGUUCUCACACCACUAACCCUAUAGAUCCGAGCGCGAGCGGGGCGGCGGAGGAUCGAGGCAAGGGUCUUGCGCCAUAGCUAGUGGCCAUCGGAGUACAUACAUAGUCAUUCCCUUUUGUUCAUGUAUCAACUUUUAUUUUGUUGAUCAAGUGAUGUAAAAGUUGUAAAUAAUCAUGUAUUUUGGGUUAGAUGAUUAUGAUGUAAAGAAAGUAUGAAUAGUAAGAAAAUGAAUGUAAUAGUUUUAGUUUUCUUGUAUUUGGUUAAAAUGUAAUCAAAUAUUAUGUAUGUGGUGCAUGUAGUAGCUUAGAGCUUUCGCUUAUGUUGUUGCUUGCCCUCGUGCAAGCCUUGUAUAAUUGCAAAUCUCAUUGUUUGAUUGCUUCAUUAUACUUGUUGCUAGAGACUUGGGCGGGCAGGGGAGGCCCUGCCCGUUCGGCGUUUGUUGACGUGGCCCGAAUCCGACCAAAUUGGCGGAGCUCGGGGCGUGACAGCUUCUGUCCCGCUCGCCUUCGCCUUUGCCCAUGCACUAUCCCUCCACCUUCUUCGUCUCAGACUUCGCCGAGGCCGCGUUUCGAUUGUUUUUUUUUUCUCUCCAACCUUCCUCCACCACCUCCCCGACUCUUUACAGCAAUAAAGAGAAUAGCGUCACGUCCUCUUCUUCUUCUUCUUUUCUCUCAUUCUUUUUUUUUUUCUCUUCGGCCUCUCUCUACUGCAUCUGCGACCUUUCACAAUGAUAACGAGGUCAGCGCUGCAUCCUCUUCCUCCACCUUCACCGAUUCAAGCACCGACGCCGAUGCCGAAGGAGGACUCGAAGCGAGUAUAGGUGAGAACGGAGUCGAGGAUAAAAUAUGCAGAAAAAAAUAAAAUAUAAAAUAUAAAGAAAAUAGUUUUUUCUACAAAAAAAUGAAGAAUCAAAGAGAAAAGAAGAAGAUGAUGAAUUUACACUAUUUCAAGGGAAUGUUAUACUAUUUGUCACGCCCCCACCCCGAAACCCCUACUCAUUUGGCGCGGUUCGGGCGCGGCGAACGCACGCCGAACGGACAGCACCUUCCCUGCCCGCCCAAGGCUCAACAAUAGAUAGAGUGCAAGAAUUUACCCAGGAAUUUAAAUUCUAAAUGUACACAAUCGCAAUGGCACAAACAGUGCCAACAACAAGAGCAAGUAAUCCACUAAUAAUAUGAGUGAAAAGAAGAGAGAACUUUAUUAACUAUUACAUUAGUUUGCAUUCUUUUAUAUUUACAUCCCUUUCCAAAAUGAAUACUUGAUCAUUUAAAAUACAUAGCUCUCCAAACCUCAUCUAUAUGAAUCUCUCUCAAAUACAUAGGUGUGCUAAUGCAAAAGGAAAGCUACUACUCUACCAAAAAUCCUCACUGGUCGGGCGCGAUGCUCUUACUCUACCAAAAAUCCUCACUGGUUGGGCGCGAUGCUCUUGCCGCGGUCCUCGCCCGGCAAACCUGUACCUAGCCCUGGAAAUAGAGUGGGGUGAGAACUAUCUUCCAUAGUUCUCAGUGGGCUCGGCCGCUGACUCCGCCGAUCUCCCCACUAGGUCUAAGUGGGCACAAGUAACAACAGAUAAAUAGAUAGAUAGAUAUCCAAAAUUGUAAAUGACAUAAUAGAAAAACUAUGCUACUAUGCCCAUAAUCAUGUGUAAUGAAUGCAUGCAUCAUUUAGUAAAGGUUUACUAUCAUGCUAACAAGUUCGAUCCAUGUUCGAAAAACAGUGUCCAAUGACAAUAUUUACUUUUCAUUUACCCAAUAUGUGGCAAGACCCUUGGGUUUGCCUACAUCUCACAUAUCCAUCCCAUAGGGUAGGGAGCUCCAUAUGCCUCGAACCCGGGACUAUCUGCGGACAUCAACUCUGUCCUAAUCGCCCGACACUCCAGAGUACUUGACGGCAAAUCCUCUUCAUGUGAGGAUAUGGAUGGCUUUACCACCCCGAAUAACAGACUGUGAGUUUGAUCUAUCCUCUCCACGUGAGGAUACCCUACGAACUAGGGCCAACAUUCUCUCGGAACUCAUCUAUUCCGACGUUCAUGCAUGAUUACUUAGCUAUACUAAGUUUAUUGUUCACGAGUCAUUUACUAGGGAAUCCACCUAUCCCUAAAUUCACGAACAUCUAGUGUCAAAUACACUACAUAAUGCCACUCGUUCUGUUCUUUAAACAUUUAGAUGCCACUCUCUAUGUCACUAAAUAAUCAUCGAGUUCAUCCAUUUUCUUUAGCACUAUAGAAUCCAUGUUCCGACACAAUCCUUACAUAUCUAUUUCACCAAGUAUUCCAUGUACACUAGGUUAACAUUUAGAAGCAUAGGUCCUGUUUGGUUGGGGAACAAAGAUGGGGAUAAGAGGUUAUCCCCUCCUUGUUCCCCAAACACUAUCUAAGGGUGGGAACAAGCUAUUCCCACCCUCUAAAGGGUGGGAAUANCCACCCCCUCUGAAUAGCUUGUUCCCACCCCUAUUUUUUUUAAAAAAAAUUAAAAAUUAAAAAUUAAAAAUUUUAAUUUUAAUUUUAGCUUUAAACAUUUAUAAUUGGAAAUUUCAAAAUUUAAGUUUAUAGUUUUAAAUUUUAAAUUUUAAUAUAAUAUUUUAUAUUUUUUUAAUAUAAAUUUUGUUAUUUAUAUUUUAAAAUUUAAAUUUGAUCUUAAAUUUUAAAUUUUAAAUUUUGAAAUUAAAAAUUUAAGAGUUUAAUUUCAAUUUUUGAAUUUUAAAGAAAGUAUUUUUAGGAUCACCUUGCUUGUUCCACCAGUAAAAUUUAAAUUUUCUAAAUUCAAAAAUUAAAAUUUAUAAUUUUAAAAUUACAAAAUUAAAAAUUUAAAUUUUAAAUUGUUUAAUUUAAAAUUUUAAAUUUUGAUAUUUUAAUUUUUUUAUAUUUAGAAUAUGAUAUUUUGUAUUUUUAAAUUAAAUUUUCAUCUUAAAUUAAAGUUUAAAAUUUAAAAAAUUAAUUUUUUAAAAUUAUAAAUUUGAGAUUUUAAAAUUUUAAAUUUUAAUUUUAAUUUUUAAACUUUAAAAGUUUAUAUUUUAAAUUUUAAAAUAUAAAUAUAAAAUAUAAAAAUUUAAAUUCUAAUAUAAAGAAAAAAAUAAUAUCAUUAUUUUUUAUUUAUAAAUACUCACUUUAAUUCUUAUCCCAUCUUACCUAACCAAACGCUAUUUUUCUUAUUCUCAGGAAUACUUAAUUUUCAUCCAAACGCAAAAUUCAUCUAAUCCCCGUUUAUACCUCAAUUUAUACCUAUUCCCGGAAUAUCCACUUUUUGCUUAUCCCCGAACCAAACGAUACCAUAAGGAAAAGGUACUACAAUGCAAUCCUACAAUGCAACAUGCAAGAGAUGUAAAUCAUGUAUCUCUAAGACAUAGAAAAGAGUUCGGUUGCUUCGGGAUGACACCCCCCACCUUUUGAGGGUAUGAAGGUUCUAAAAAUGCUUCUCGCCGAACGUUACGACGAUGUCUCGGCCUCCUUGGUCCAAAAUGGUGCUCAAUCGGCUAUAAUUUGCCGAUAGCUUUUCACUUGCUCGACGAAUCGAAAAUCUGACUUCGCCCCCGCGUUUAGACACCUAUCAAUUAGGUUUACAAGCCACUAAAUGAGAUCAAUCUCAUCAUUUAUCAAAAACCCCCAUUUGGGUGUCCUAGGGUUCAUAUCUUGCAAUUAGCACUAUAGAACCCUAGCUUCUAGCUCUAUUCCACCAUUAAUGGUGCUAGAGGUCCAUUUGACCUCAUCUCAAAAGCCAAAAAUCCAAAAGCCCUAAGUUCUAUCAUUAGGGUUCAAGAGCUUACCUCUAGGUUAGCUCCAAUGGAGAGGAGAGGAAGAGGAGAAGAUGCUCCAAACCUUCCAUAGCUUGCUCUCCUUCUUCUUCUUCUUCUCCUUCUUUUCUUCUCUUUUCUUUCGUUCUAGAGAGAGAGAGAGGGAGAAAGAGAGAUGAGAGUUGGGAGGGAAAUGAGAGAGGGAGAGAGAGCCCUUUGCUCUCUAUACUCUCUAACUAAGGCAUAAUUGCAGCCAAGUCCCUCAACUUUUCAUUUCCUCUCAAGUCACUCUGCCUGGGCAGAUUUUGCGCGGAGGGAUUGGUCCUCCCGAUGAGGGACCAGUCCCCGAGAGCCUUCAGCCAGGGUUGCGCUCACGGGAACCGGUCCCUCGGUCGGGGGACCGGUUGCAUUGCGCGCUGCCGCAACCCCAGCUACGGGGACCAGUCCUUCCCACUAGGGACCGGUCCCUGAGAGCAAACUCUACACAGACCCCUUUUCUGCCAGAAUCCCUGCUUACGAGAAUCGGUCCCUCCCGCUAGGGACCGGUCCCCGAAAGCAGAAUCUGCCAAGUGCAAAUCUUGCACUAUUCGCUCUCGUGGACUCGAUUUCCAAAGCACUUUUUGUGUUUUGACAUCUCUAGCUUCUCCGAAGCCUACUCGCUCGACAAUUAGUCGAUUCUGGACGAAGUAUAACUCUCGGAUUUCGAGAAUUCACUUCCUUAUACUAUUUCACGGGAACGUUGCACUGUUUUUGAAAAAAAUUACACUCUUUGAGAGAAAAAAUGUACGUUGUUGGAUGAAAGUUACACUCUUUUAAUAAAAGUUGCACUCUUUGAACGAAAAUUGCACUAUUUGGCCAGAAAGAGGGGAAGAAGGAGAAGGAGAAGAAAUAGUGUAAUUUUUGACUAAAUAGUACAAUUUUUGUUCAAAGAGUGCAAUUUUUAUUUAAAAAGUAUAUUUUUUUUCUUCAAACAGUGUAAAUUUUCUCAAAAAUAGUGCAAUGUUCCCCUGAAAUAGUGCAACAUUCUCCUGAAAUAGUGCAAAUUCAUCAUUAUCUUCUUUUUUCUUUGAUUCGUUAUUUUUCUUGUAGAAAAAACUAUUUUUAUUUAUGUUUUAUUUUUUAUUCUUUUUAUUUUUGAUUUUCUGUAUAUUUUUUCCUCGGUACCACUCUCAACCGCACUCGCUUCGAAUCCUCCUUCUCCGGCACCGGCGUCGGUGCCUGCACCGGUGAAGGCGAAAGAAGAGGAUGCGGCAUUGUUCUAGUUACCGUCGUGGAGGGUCGUAGAGACGGUAGAGGGGGGUCAAAGAGAAAAACAAAAAAGAACAAGAGAAAAAAAAGAGAGGAAGAGGACGUGACGCUGCUCUUUAUUGUUGUAAAGAGCCGAGGAGGCGGUGAAAGAAGGUCGGAGAGAAAAAAAGGAGGGUCGAGAUGCGGCCUCGGCGGUGUUGGAGGCGAGGAAGGCGGAGGGAUGGUGCGCGGGUGAGGGCGAGGGCGAGGGCGAGGACACUCGGGACAGAGGUGAGGCGGGCCGCCUCCGCCUCCGCCGCCCUCUUCGAAAAGAAAGAAAAAAAAACGAGAGAAAAAAAAAGAGAGAAAAAGGAAUAAUGGUAUUUUGGUCAGUUUUCUGAAAAUCCGUCCCGAAUCUGCAAAAUCCAAAAAGGCGGUCUACUUUUGCAAAAGCUCAAAACUAAUAAUUUUUUUAUGCAAAUUGGCCUUUGAGUACUCCACAAUAUAUUUAAUUUUUUGUGGGGAAUUUUAAUUUUUUCCCACUACUUGUCUUCACAUAAAUUUCAAACUAUAGAUUGUUACCUACUGUCAGAAAUUUUAUAUAUCGUUUUGUGGCCAUUUACAAUAUUUGGCCACAAAAGUAAUAAUGUUGAAAUUUCAUCAGCUAAUUUUUGGAAAUUUAUGAUAAUUCACCACAAUUGUUUUUGCAUUUUGAGUUUAUCUUUUUUCACAAGACAUUAUACCUGCUAAAUUUUUUUAUACGCUGAAAACUUUUUUUACAAAUAUCCCGCAUGGCAAGGUCCAUUUGCAUCUUGAUCUACGAGGCCGUGGACUAGCCCCACAAUUACGUGCACUCCUCCCCUGUUGCACGCCGCAUCAUCUAUAAUUGCGUAUGUAGCCAACUUCGAUCGCUUACUCAUUUGCACAUGCGACCAAGCUUCAUUCGCUCAAGGUCUCCUCCCACUCCCUUCAUAAUUUUUUUGAUUUUUUUUAAUUUUUGUUGGAAAAGAUCUCAUGAGAAAAUAAAAUCACACUAUUUUAUGUAGAAUUUUCUAACAUUUUGAUUCCAAAAUUUGAUAAAUAGUUAAAAUAUAUUGCUUUUAAUUAAUUCCUGCGGAGAGACACUUAUUACGACCUAAUCGGUUAACCAUGGAUUUCGAAAUCAGGCAUGAAUCCUUCUCGGAGUCAGCGCGAAUCCUACCAUUGAGCGCAUCACGUCUCAUAGUCUAUUCCCUUCACUUAUCAAUUUGCCCAAAUUGGCCACUUCGUGGGUCCUACUAUACUUCAUCCUUUAAAAUCCUGCCCCUUCAUGGCAUUCUUCUUUCGAUCAUUGCAUCGUUCGGGCUCCACUCAACUCCUAAUCUAAGUACAACCAAAAACCCUAAUAGUCUUAGUCCUACUCUAAUCGCUAGCUUCUACUCGGGGCCGACCGAAUAGAGCUAUACAAUCGAUGCAUACUCCUCUGUCCCCCCUCCACCCCUUUCUCUUGAGUCUUGACUAACUACUCUGAUCAUUCAUUUCAAGAAACAAUAGCCAAAAUGGAAAUGGGAAGAAGCAAUAGCCAAAAUAGAAAGUGAAAAAGACAUGGAGAAGAGGAGAUUCCUCUCCCUCCCUUGUAUUCUUUUAUAGACAAAGAAAAAAAAAAACUGUUUGUUAUUUUUUUCUUAAAAAUAUUUCAUCUUCCAAAUCUAAAUAGUUGAAUGGGCGAGUUGUAUGUAAUAUCCAACAUAUUUUUUAUUUAGGCUUUUUUGUAUAAUUUAAUAAAUUUUAGGAGUUACACGUAAAUUAUCUUAAACCCUAAUGAACAAUGCUAUCAAUACAUCUCAAAAUGGGUUUACAUUUUAUACCAAGUCCAUCGAAAGACCAUUAACAUUUUACUUCGCACAUCAAUUUUUAUUUUAUUUUACUAAAAUCUAUUUAAAUUUUUAUCAAUCCUAUAAUGGGGAUUGUAAGGUCUAAACUCUCCUCUUUGGGUGUUCCAGAUGCAUUUUUCUUAACCCUAAUUAAUGUAUUUUUCUUAACCCUAAUUAAUGUAAGAAAAGAAAAAUCCCUCUCUCUCACUCCUGUGCGUAGCUGCUGCCCAACCGAUCACGCUCUGUCUCUCACCUGCACCUCUCUCUCUCUCUCUCUCUCUCUCUCUCUCUCUUUCUCUCUCCCUCUCGCGUGUACGCGCGUGCUAUCUCUCUCGUUCUCGCACGCACGAACCCGCGGUGGCCUCUCGAUCCCUUGUCCUCCGCCGUCGCCAUCGCCGUUCUUCUCGAUCGUCGUCGACGGUGUUUGGUUCGUCGUCGGCGGCGUUUGGUUCGUCGUCGGUGGCACCUCGAUCGCCGUCGUUUCUCCAUCGUUUUCGAAAGGUUUCUUAUUCUGUUCAUCUCGUCUCUUUUAUAUAUUGUUGAAAUUAUACAUGGGUAUAUGAAUUAUGUAGAUUUUUCUCUUUUGACUGUUUUAGAUUUAAAACUAUUAAAAUCUUGUGUCCAGUAUUGAUCUUGAACCAUUGGAACUUUUGAUAGUGCUGAAAUUCUUGUAUACCUGUGAUUUGAAAUGCCCACCAAAUGUUCGGCGGAAUGCCUAAGAGAAUGCAAAUAUAAUUUUUGCUUCCGAUUUUGACCUUAUUAACGUCCAACUUGUAAACAUGUGUGUUGGGAACUGUAAAUCAUCCUCUCAAGCAUUUGUACCUUCGUUUAAAUUUUCUGAAAUUCCGUUCAUGUUACAUUACUCUUCCUUUUUGAUUGAUAGUUGUGAUUCCUCAAAUUAUUUUGCUCAACAUCUUUUUCUUGGAUAAGAUUGGUCUAUUAGCAACUAUUUUAGACUUGUGCUAAUCAAGGAUUCAAGUUCCGUGGCACGGGAUCGUACCGAAAACUUGCCAACACGGUACGACAUGGUGCGUUUCGUGCCGUGCCGAUGCAUGCCGGUCACAAAAAAUACAUGUGUGCCGACACAUAAUGGCGUGAGAUAUUUAUUUUCUUUAGCAACAAAAUAUUCUAAUCCUUUAUUAUGUAUCUUUAUUAAAUCUUUUGAAUUUUAUUGAAAAAACUAAUUAAUUUAAAGAAAAAGGGGUUUUGAGUUGUGCCAUCAGCACGAGGGCUAUAUCAUGUUGAUAUCUUGUUGGCACGAUAUGACACGUUAGAUACGGGCCAUGCCUAUGGGCACUCAAAUCCUUGUUGCUAAUAUUCUACAUGAGCCUGCCUGAAUUAGGUUGGUCGGGUAUUACUUUCCCACAACCAUGUUUACUACGAAAGUAAUUAGUUCUAUGUUAGAUAGGGCUUCUUUUUAGAUACUCAAUCGGAACCUAGUAAGCUUUUGAUGGUUUAUUUUCAUGCUUUGUGCUUGUGAUGAUAUUUGUUUUUUUACUUUAGGUUCCGAUGAUUAUAUUGAUACUUGGCUUUUGACUGAAUGAUACUUGGAUUAUUUGAAGGUCUGUGACCUAACACCUGUUGGUUUAUUUUCGACAAAAUUAUAGAAAUAUGUUAUGACAAUAGAAAUUCUUUUUUGUAUAGGUUUUCUCAAAAUGAGGGUUGAGCGUGCUUAUAUAUAUUAGAAAUCAUUGAAAGAAAAGAAAAAGACUUUGCUUUGUCUGCUGUGUAAUUUCAAAAAAAUGCGUGCUUUAGAAAUUGUGCUUAUUUGAUAAAAAUUCAGUAUUCGAUAAUUUAUUUCCUUUAAAAUGUUGACUAAGUAAAUAAUCUUAAAGUAGUGAUAUCCCUUGGUAUUUUGUUAUAAUUAUGUUAUGUUAAUAUGAAUUUUUUGAUAGGAGCUAGCUUUGAUUUUGUGAUGCACCUUUGAGUGCAAUUUUCUGACGCGCCUUCGGGUGCUAUUUUGUAAUGCAUCUUUAGGUUCUAUUUAUAUACACCUUGGGGUGAUUUCGCGUUCGUGAUCGUGCCUUUGGGUGCCUUUGAUGUGUGGAUGGACCUUUGCCAAUGGGUUGCUUGUUAGAAGAGACUUUUGUUUUGAAAUUUUAACUUUUGGAAUAAAAAUGUUUUGUCAAAAUUCAAUUUCUCUUGGUUCAAUUUAGUAAAAUAUGUUUAAGUUUGAAACUUUGAAAAGAGACAUGAAAUUUUCGCAAAAACUCGGUCAUUAUUAGUACAUUUUCAAUACAAAAAAUUUAUAUUUGAAUAUUUAGAUUUUUUUUUUUUUUUUUUUAUUUUGCAUGCUUAAUUCGAUUAAUGUGGUAUACGUUUGCUUUCUCAGGUAUUGAGUCCAAUUAGUUUGUGGGGGAUGGGAUCGAGUGAUCGCUAAACGGAGAGAAUGUUAUUUAUUUGUGGACUUUGGUUAAUAAAUUUCGGUAUGUUAGUUAGUUUUAAAAGUUAAUAUUUGACAGAAAUAGAGAAUCUUUGCUAGUUUAGAAUUGUUAUGUAUUUUUUGUGAAUUUAAGUAAUUGAGUACUUGUGAAAUUGUUGGUAGUAGAUUUUAGUUUUGUGGUUAACUUGAUUUAUUGAUGUCUUUUUUUGGGUUUCAAGUAUGUUAGGCUGUUUAACUUAAUCUUGAGAUAGGAUAUUGUUGCUUGAUAUCUACAAGUUUUGUUGCCUUGCAUAUUUGCAAUUAAUUAAUUGCAGGUAUGCGACGUUUGUUUUGCCUUGGGUCCGGGGAAUGACAUCUAUACUUACUGUUUUCAUUCUUUCUUUGAAUACAGGCUGAAAAUUAAGAGAGUAUAACUGAAUUAUUGGAUGAUGGCUGCUGCUGAGGAGCAAAAUAAGCCUUUAUUAGAAACUAGCGCUGCAGGUGGUCCUACUACGACUGCUACCACCGGCGUCGCUGCUGCCGCUGUUGCUGCCAGCACUACUGCAGCAGCUCCUCCAUUGAUGGCAUAUGGAGCUUCUUCGGAGUGGGCAACCUCGCUGCAAGCAUACUACAAUAGUGGAGGGGCUGCAUCAGCUGUCUCAGCGCAUGCUUUCUUUCCCCCAGGUGCUUCUCACCAUUCCUAUGCAGUUUGGGCUCCCCAGGUAUGAGGGAAGAUGCACAGUUUCUUUAUUUUGAUGCUACUGAAAUCUUGUUAUUUAACUCUUCGAGUUUUGCGCAAGUUGUGCAGAUGGUGUCGCCGUACGGCACCCACAUCCCAAUCUCUCCCAUGUAUCAUCCUGGUCCAAUGUAUGCUCACCCUUCGAUGGGUAUGGUAAGUGGUUGUGGCUUCUCCUUCCUCGUUCUUCGCUUCCGAUUUAAUGGUUUGCUUAUUUGUUAUAGUUAUUUGAACUGGGAGCUGUUUCUCUUCUGCAGAACAUGCCAUACCCAGCUAGCGAAGUUGAGGUGAGACCAAUUGAGGGGAAAAUCAAGGGAUCUACAAGCAAAGGGAGUUCUGGAAAUGCCAGAGGUUCUCCUGAGAAGUCAGAGGAUGGCAGGAAAGGAACAUCUGCCUCUGCUGACAAUGCUUCAAGGAGGUGUGCUUUAUAUUUUGAUUUAGCUGCUCUUCUUGUUUGUUCUUUUUGGAAUUGUUUCUCUUGUUGACGAUGUUGCUGUGAAAUAUUGUCUAGUAGCGAAGACGGAAGCGAGGGUUCAUCUGAUACGAGAGAGGACAAUGAUGAGCAAAAGGUGUGUGAUAGCAGUAGUUGAUUUGUUCUUUGGUGAAAUUUAGAUCUGCCCUUCUUUUUUUGAUCCAUCUAUCUUAUUCAAAUAGUAUCCAUGUUUAUGAUCUGCCCAUAUCUGUAGACUCUAGCUGGAAUACCUCUUCUUAUUAUGAAAUUUCCUUAUUGAUAUUGAAGUUGUUUUAUGUUGUGUGGUUUGUUAUGACUUAUUAUUAUAAAGAGACUAAGGUAUUUUUUACUGCCGUCAGGAAUCGACCGCAACUAAAAAGAGAAAAUAUCGUGGGAUGGCUGUAGAUGGUAGGUUCGGACUAAAAUGCUUUCUUUUUUUCUUUUUGUCUUGUUUUCGAAAAGCAUUGUAAUGCUUCCUAGUUUUGCCUUUUUCACUUCCAUUUUGUGCAUUGUAUCAUUUUUUUGGUCGGUCUUUACUUUAUCAGGAGAAACUUCUCAAACUGCCACUAUUGCCCAUUGUAAUAAUACUAUUGCUGAGUCAUCUUAUAAUGCGAGGGGAAGAUCUGUCACAAAGCUUCCGGUUUCAGCACCUGGAAGAUCAGCUCUACCUAAUUCUUCCACUAAUUUGAAUAUAGGCAUGGAUAUUUGGAAUACUUCUCAUUCUGCAACUGUUAAUGUCAAACCCAAUGAAGUGACCGCUGCAUCAGCCAUGGUGGGACGAGAUGGUGUCAUGUCUGAACAUCAAUUGGUACUGUUAAGUAGUGCUUUGAUGAUAAUGAGACACAUCAUAUAUUAUGCUUUUAGUAUUGCCUCUUGCAAAGGAUUUGAUUAUGAUUUUUUUUAGAAAAUAUUUAUUCAACCUGGUCACAUCUAAAAAUUUUGCUAUAUUUUCUACCUUUUCGUUGUACUGUGCUCUAUGUCUUUUACUAUUCUUCUUCUGGCAGGACGAGCGUGAACUUAAGAGGGAAAGACGAAAGCAAUCUAAUAGAGAGUCAGCUAGAAGGUCAAGGCUACGGAAGCAGGUUUUUUUCUUCUUUUUUAAUUUUUUUUUUGUUAAACUACGUAAUCUUGCCUCAUUGCAUAUAGGAUGCAAACAAUGAAUAUUCUUACGUUCUUUUAUAUUCAAGUGUCAUUACUUUUGUGGUUU